rnacentral:lncRNA from 1 species
AGUCCAUCAGCUUCAUCUGCCAUUCUUCCAAGGUGGGUAGAUCUUGUGUCUUCCAAUAAUUUGCAAUAAGAAUUCUUGCUGCUGUUGUGGCAUACAUAAAGAAAGUUCUGUCCCCCUUUAACACCAAUUGGCCGACUAUGUCCAGGAGGAAGGCCUCUGGUUUCUUCAAGAAGGUAUAUUUAAAUACCUUUUUCAAUUCAUUAUAUAUCAUUUCCCAGAAAGCCUUAAUCUUUGAGCAUGUCCACCAAAGGUGAAAGAAUGUACCUUCCUUACAUUUCCAACAUUUAUUAUCGGGCAAAUGAUAGAUUUUUGCAAGCCUGACUGGGGUCAUGUACCACCUGUAUAUCAUUUUCAUAAUAUUCUCUAUUAGGGCAUUACAUGCCGUAAAUUUCAUACCUGUGGUCCACAACUGUUCCCAGUCAGCAAACAUAAUAUUAUGUCCUAAAUCUUGUGCCCAUUUAAUCAUAGCAGAUUUCACAGUUUCGCCCUGAGUAUUCCAUUUCAGCAACAAGUUAUACAUUCUUGACAAAGUCUUAGUAGUGGGUUCUAACAGUUCUUAACCUAACAGUUUGAAAGCACGUCAAAGUGCAAGUAGAUAAAUAGGUACCGCUCCGGCGGGAAGGUAAACGGCGUUUCCAUGCGCUGCUCUGGUUCGCCAGAAGCGGCUUAGUCAUGCUGGCCACAUGACCCGGCAGCUGUACACUGGCUCCCUCGACCAAUAAAGCAAGAUGAGCGCCGCAACCCCAGAGUUGGUCAUGACUGGACCUAAUGGUCAGGGGUCCCUUUACCUUUACCUAUUGUGCUGAGACCAGGAAGUCGUUGAUUCAAGUAACUUGCACCUUACAUGAGGGUUCAGUUCUGGAGGUCCACGCAUAAAUGCAAGAACAUGUGAAGUCAUGGAACCAGCCCCCCUCCCCCGCAAGGUGCAGGGCUACUUGUUCAGCUUUGAGACGGAGUCGCAAGGGUUCUGGGAUGCUGCCAGAGCCCUCGUGCCACCUCCCCAAAACUGGGAAAGCCCACAAUUGGGAGGGGGGGUGGAAAUAAAGAAGCGAAGCGUGGGUUUCCUCCACUCUCCAUUUAUUUAUUUAUCCCCUCCCCUCCUCACAAAGCUGAGAUUGAGUAAGUGAACUAAGAUUUAAGUUGCCAGUAUAAACCCCCACAUACCCAUCAGCAACAUAAAGUUAUUAACUUCUCUUAUGGGGCUGCUGUAAAGAUUAUUAAGAUAAAAUAUGUGAAGUGCUUUGACCACUUAGGGAAAUGCUCUCUAAGUGUUAAUAAUAAUAAUAAUAAUAAUAAUAAUAGCUAUUAUUGCUGUCCCCUGGUAGUUCAUUUGUGUGUGUUUUUGUUUUUGUUUUUACAGAAAGUUCAUUGAUAAACAAACUUGUUUCUUCUGUGGAUUCCUUCUCCUUUCUCUUUCCUUGCAGUUUGCAAGCUAGGUUUUCCGAUGUGGUGCACUCUGUAAGAGAGUCUGAAUUAUCCACCUUCACUCGCUUCUUUGCAGAAUCGCGGCCUGUUGUCUGUUGACUAGAAGGGCGGAGUAAUCCUUAUGCACUUUCACUUGAUCCCAUAAUGUUAACUGGCCCGUCCCGUCUAAAGGAGCUUGUGUGGGAUAAAUCAGCUUGAACAGUAAAAUAGAAAAGUUAGGUGAUGAAUCAGGCCACACCGUGUUAAUGCAAGCCUACACAAGAAAAGGUAAGUGAACACAUGCAAAAUCUCCUCAUGAAUGGCAGUCCCAAUGUGGUGUUUCUGUUUGAAUGUAUCACUAAACCUCUUUUCUCCUUUUCCUCCCAGCACCAUAAUUACUAACUGAAGCUAAGGACAUCUCUAAUAGUAUUUAGAAACCGUCACCUCUCUAAUCAUUACAACAGUCCUGCAAGAUAGGUUGGAUUUAAUUAAACCCUGAUCAGAUUUGGGGAAUGAGACUGGGAUUUCUGGGUUAUCCAUCAGUGAAGUCAUAUUUGAAGCAGAUAUUUUUCAGUGAGCAGAUCAUAGUUGAGCUGAGCAAUCCGAUACUCUGGAGGGCGGAGAUACACUGCUGGCACAUGGGCAGAAUGGCCACUUGGAAAACUCCCAAAUGGCAGGAAAGCUAUGGACAACACAUGGCCAGAGCUGAUGGUGGCCAUAGGUGUGGAAGACCUGUGGCACCGUCCAUUAAAGCACAAAGAAGUUCAGUGGUUCAAAUUCACAUGGGGUUGGGGAAUUAUUCCUCAUGUGGAACUUUUCAAGAUAUAGCGAUGGUCUCUCCAGCUUUGAUGGCUUUCAGGGAGGAUUACAUAGAGGACAAGACUAUCAAUGACAGCUAGCCAUGAUUACUCUGUGCUACCUCCAGUGUCAAAGGGGUUCUGUGGGCAAUCACAAGUCAGAAGAGUGCUAUUGCACUCAGGUCUUGCUUGCGGGCAUCUGGUUUGGCUAGGGUUGCCAUGUGUCCUCUUUUUCCAGGACACGUCCUCUUUUUCAGGGGUAAAAUUUCUGUCUGGGUGGAUUUUUUAAAUUUGCCAAAAUGUCUCUGGCUAUACUUUCUGGAUGAGACAUAGACAUAACAGGUGGCUGAAGACUUGCUUUCCUCUUCUCUUCUCCCUGUAUCACAGUUUCUAUAGUCUACAUAUAGUAAUUCUGCCUGGUAGCAGAAUCUUUUUUUUUGCAGAACUAGCAAAAAUUUGCAGAUGUUCAUAGUUCACUGAAGUAACAGAAUUUGACUUUAUAAAGUGCCGAAUUUGUAUUAGCCUGAUGCAGAAUUUCGUUUCUUGAUUUUAUGUUUAGUUCAUUUUAUUUUUUGCAGAGUGGUGGUAUUCAAAGCAAUUGUCUACUAUUUGUAUUUUUGUUGUAACAAUGCAUGCAUCAGGCAAAGCACAAUGCACUGAGGUCUAGUUUUUCCUGGCCACCCCACCCCACCCUUCCAGCAUAAAUAUAGUAGGUAGGGAUUUGAGAUAGCUAUAAGAGGGAAUGUUGUGUUUUAAAAGUCAUUGGAGACAGUGAAGUUAUGCUCACUCUCUUUAAUACUAACAAACCAAAUGUUAUAACUCUUAUCAGGCAGUCUCUGCAAUGUCUGCAUCCCUUCACUAAUUUCAACAAACUGUCCUCCAGAGUGGGAAGAUUAGCCUGUGUGUAUGUUUAUUCUCUGUGGAAUUAUAGCCAUGUUCCCUUCAAGUGAGCAAGAUACGAAAAUAAAAUCUUGUUUGCAUUUCCUCCUCCUCCUGUUGCAAUGGUGGAAAGAAGCUGCAAGUGAUUUAAUGUGCAAGCAUACACAGCCCCCUUUCCAUUUUAGGGGUCUUUGCAAGCUUUGAGAUGGCAGAUGCUUUCUUUCUGAAGCUCCUGCCUUGGUGAUCCAUAUGCAAGAGGCUCUUCUCAUAUAAUUGCCUCUAUCUUCCAUGUAAAUCCAAACAUUUGCAUUUGGAAGAAUGUUUUGUAUGCAAGUCUGCGUGCACACUACUCUCCAAAUGAAACGAAAUAAAAAUAAGGUUUCUGGGGCUGAGUAAUCCUCUACAAGGCAAGCUGAAUUCUGUAUCUUGCUUGCAAGAUUUAAGAGGUUCAUCUUCAUUUGCAUAAUUUAUUUUGCUUUUGCCGCACAUGAGAUGAAGAAGGAGCCAUGAAGGAUACUGGAGACCUGCCCCUGCCAUUUCAACAGGAAUCCCCCACAUACUUUAGAAUAUAAGAAGAGUGCUGCUGGAUCAAGCCAGUGGUCCAUCUAGUCCAGCAUCCUGUUCUCAUUGUGGCUGAAGAGAUGCCUUGGGAACCAGUAAGCAGGAUUUGAGCACAAGAGCCCUCUUCCCUCUGCCUCCAACUGUGGCAGCAGAGCACAGCAAUCAUGGCUAGGAGCCAUUGAAAGCCCUUUCCAGUUUUGCCCACCCCACCUUAUCAAAAGCUUUCUUGGGAGUAAGUUCCACUGAAUACCACCAUGUGGACUGAACAUGCAUCAGACUAGCAUGUAGGUUUUUAUAAGAAUUGGGUUGGGGAGAGAACUAUGCUACUCAUGCAGUGGCUGACGUAAAUCCAGUUUUGAAAGCACCAAAGGUACACCUUAAUUCACAACUGGUUUAGAAGAUAAGGUAAAGGUAAAGGACCCCUGACAGUUAAGUCCAGUCGCGAACGACUCUGGGGUUGCGGCGCUCAUCUCGUUUUACUGGCCGAGGGAGCCAGCGUUUGUCUGCAGACAGCUUUUCUGGGUCAUGUGACCAGCAUGACGAAACCAGAGCAGCGCACGGAAACGCCUUUUACCUUCCCGCCGGGAAGGUAGCUUUUGAACUGCAAGGUUGGCAGGAGAUAUUUAGAAGAUUUGUUGUUGUUUAGUCGUUUAGUUGUGUCCGACUCUUCAUGACCCCCUGGACCAGAUCACGCCAGGCACUCCUGUCUUCCACUGCCUCCCGCAACUUGGUCAAACUCAUGUUGGUAGCUUCGAGAACACUCUCCAACCAUCUCGUCCUCUGUCGUCCCUUUCUCCUUGCGCUCUCCAUCUUUCCCAUCAUCAGGGUCUUUCCCAGGGAGUCUUCUCUUCUCAUGAUGUGGCCAAAGUAUUGGAGCCUCGGCUUCAGAAUCUGUCCUUCCAGUGAGCACUCAGGGCUGAUUUCCUUCAGAAUGGGUAAGUUUGAUCUUCUUGCCUUCCUUCAUGCAUCACUGCCUUGCCGUGGUGAAGGGGCUUGAAUAACUCAGAGAAGCUAUGAGCUAUGCCGUGCAGGACCACCAAAGACGGAUAGGUCAUAGUGGAGAGUUUUGACCAAACAUGAUCCACCUGGAGCAGGAACCGGCAAGCCACUCCAGUAUCCCUGCCUAGAAAACUCCAUGGACAAAGACAACAGGCAUUUAGAAGAUAGCUCCAUACAAAUGAAUGAGGAUCUAGAUUUGGGAUGGGGACCCUUUUUGAGAAGCACUGUGGGAUAAAGGGCAGGAGGAACGGUUUGUAGAUGCCAAUGGAAAAGGAAGUGUGGAAAUUCAGCAUGAUGGUUCAGUGAUUGAAUGGCUCCCUCGUGAGCUUGAAACUCUGGUGCCACAUGUCUAAGCUUUGGAGGCAACAUCUGGCUGUGGCGGCAGAGUGGAACAGCUUUUGGUCAGGAGAGGAACCAGCAGCUAAAUGCACCAAGUCAAGAGAAGCUGAAGAAAGUUCUGCCUUUGUUAAUGAGAACUUUCUUUUUCUUUCACUGCUUUAUCGCAGAUAGAAAGGAAGUUUGUAGCCAGCAUUGCGCAUAGGCGGGAUCUGCCAGAAUGAUGUCAUAGAGAAAGGGAACAGAACCCAAUUGUGUGUUGUGCAUACUGGAAAUCUCACUGGAAUGGUCCACAGCGGCUCCUUUAUCAAUUAGGUAACGUCUGACCCAGAUGGGUGGAAGUUCAAUGAUUUUGCACUUGACGGUGUUGAUUUACCAAGCAAUCUUAAAAGGGCCAUUAGGUCCUUUUAUUUUUCUGAAUAAAAUUGAAUGGUGACAGAGAGUACGAUCCAGUCCACCUAGUUCAUGGCUUCUAAAAGGUACCGAAUCUUUCUGGGCCUACUUGCAAGUUGGCUCCACCUUUCAAGCCCUGUUUUCCACCUCUGAACUGAAAAUUCAAGACCAUCACAUCAGUAGCUGACAUCGGAUAAGUGUUGAUGUUUAAUGCUGCUAUAGGUAUAUGUAGGUGGUACAGAUGGGAAUAGAAUUUCAACGUGACAUAGAGGGGAGGGAUCCUGUCUCUUAAAAGAGUCCCACAAACAGUAGCAAUGUGCUGAGAGCAAGUGGAAGGAAAGCAAGCAAACUCGUAGAAAUGGGGUGAGUGUCAGGGUGUCUAUUUAAGUUUAUCUCUAUGUCUCAUUUUCCAGUUCUGAAUUCAGCUCCCAACAUUUCUGCAGCAACCUGUGAUUUGCUUUUGUACUACCUGAAGGACGGCAGGCGCUCCACUCCUGCUUGCACGCAAGUAGGAGCGGGAGUGGGCAGCCCAGUGUUCAGGUUCCAAGUAGUUCGAGAACUAAGCUGUUCAAAAACUGAGGUACCACUGUAUUUAUUUUCCCUGAUUUGAACUGUGUUUAUUCCCCCCUCCCCAUGGUGAUUUUCUUGAGUCAAAAUGAGAGUACCCCUAAACAUUUUUUUUAAGGAAAAAAGCACUGAGAUACCAUAAAAUUAUACAUCAAUGGAAAGAUAAUUUAAUGAAGAAUGGAGUGCAAUAACUUUUAUGAAGGAUUAUUUAUUACAACAGCAGUCAUAAGGAAGAAACGUGAAACACACAGAAAAAAAUGAGGUAUACAGGUUAAUUUGCCGUGUUGGCACUUUGCGAUAAAUGUUAAGUUGUGGGUGAACAUAUCAGACAACACAGCGAUUCUUCAAACAGUUCUUGUUUAUUCACAGGCCAGAACAGAACUGAACUGAAGGGUUCAGCCAGCCUGCUUAUAUAGAGCUCCACUACAAUGCAACUGUUACACUUUCUGUAACUAUCCAAUCACUGAACGUCACUUUCAACCCCUUAUUUGCAUAUGUGGACCUGAGUGAAGACUAUCUACAGUAUCCCUUUGCUGGCCCAGGGUGAGAACUUCAGUACAUAACAAUAAAUAAGUGGGUUUGGGGUUGUAGUCUGGGCACUCAGUCUCUAAAAGGUUCACCAUCACUGACCUAGAAGAUGACGUACCGGAGCAUCUGGUAGUAUUCUAGCCUAGUGGCAGCCCUACCUCCCAGGAGUGCCAACUUGGCUCUGCGACCGUGGGUGCUAUGCAGUGCGCAUGGCCCUGGCCCCAAAAUUUGUGGGUGCCCAGCUCUUUCAUGGGGAGUUUUGUGGGUGCUCAGCCACUCAGGGCCCCAGGGAGUUGGUACCUAUGCUCCCUCCAGCAUCUUCUGCCUGUGUUUUAAUGAAUUCAGUGGUGCCAUUGCACAAGGGUGGCAAACUCCUGGUCCAUGGGCCAAGGCUAGCCCCACCAUCUGCAUUUGUUUGGUCCCUCAGAGGUCCAUGUGUUUUGAUGGAGGCACCUGUAGCAUAGUGCAAGCACAAUAUAGAAAAGUUGUCAAGCACACAUGGACAGGGGAACAACUGAGUUGUUAAAAUAUUAUAACUCACUUGGUCUCAGGGUACAUAAUCCAUCUAAAGCAACAAUUCAUUAUAUAACAUGAUUAUUUUAUAUAAAACAUGCCUAAAAACUAUAGAUAAUCAGCACUAAUAAGCCACGAGAUUCAGCACGGUUUUAGGGAACAAACUUAACAACACGGAGAUGUCUGAGCGAAUAACCAGGUUUUGAACUGGUACAGAAAUGAAUCUGGAGUAGGCAGGUCUCAAAUGAGAGGUUGAGGGCUUGAAAUUGGGCCAGCAGCAGCCAGUGCAGUUAUUUAAAACACAACAUAUAUAUGGCUUCUGCAUAAAUUGUUUUAUUUCGUAGUCUGGCCUGCUGCAUUCUGCACCAGCUUCAGCCAUACAGUUGACACAAGUGGCGUCAUGAGGCCUCACCCUGCUGCCAUUAGUUCUCCGCAAUCAGUGUAAUUAGACAAAUGUGAAGGCAGGAAGAGAGAUCUGGCCCAAUAGGACUUCAACCGCCAGAACACAAGUGAUGUGUUCAUUCCUGCUGAAGGCCCAUUUUUUAUCCCUUAAAAACAGAGCAACUCUCUAAAGCCCCUUUAAGUCCCUGGUAUGUUAAACUGAUACCGGAGCUCAGCUGUUGCAGCGCCAGAAAGACAAAUUCGGCUGAAGGGAAACGGUGUGUGUUUGUCAUCCAGGAAGCUAAGUCCUUGCCUUCAUCUGCAGCCCCCUUUUCCUGCUCUGUCCUCAAUCUAAGAGUGAAGCGGGGGGAGGAAUUGUGAAAUCUCAGAAGGAGAGUAAGGAGCGCCUAAGACUUAGCAGCCAGAAUGCUGCUCUGUCUCCACUCCCAGCUCAGUGGACAGUGGUAUCCAGCCACUGUGUGCCACUGAGCCAGUAAGGAAAGGAGAGAGCAGGAUGGAACUGCUGAGUGGAGAAAAUGCCGCAGAGACCAAAAUUGAUUUAGGAGCUUUUCUUAAGUAAAAAAAUUCAUUACCAAAGAGCUUUCUUCCAAGAGCCCCUUUGAGAAACUCUGUGUUUAUAUAUUGCUGUUUGCCUGACCCAGGCUGCCAAUACUUAGAGUAAUGGGUUCGUUUUUAUUUAUUUAUUUUUGUUACCCUCCCCAUGGCAAAUACAUGGAACCAGAGCUAAGAAGCACUCCGUUUCUUUCUGUGUCUGUCUGUCUCUCUGUCUGUCUGUCUGUCUGUCUCUCUCUCUCUCUCUCUCUCUCUCUCUCUCUCACACACACACACACACACACACAUAUCCUUCACAGCACCUUCAGUGACAAGCUGUGGAAAUGGGAGAGAGGCAAUAUUCUGGCGCUACUAGUAGGGCUACCAGUUUGCUGCAAGUGUCACAAACGUGGGACACUGAGGUGCUUUGGUGCCUGAGUGCUCUGAAAUCAGGAACUAUAUAGUAUGAUGAAAUGAAAUGUAUUGCUGGGCUGCAGGACAAAUUUCAAGGAAGAAGUCAAGACACUCUGGCUACAAUCUAGCAUGGAGUCAGCUGUUGUUGUUGUUGUUUAGUCAUUUAGUCAUGUCCGACUCUUCGUGACCCCAUGGACCAGAGCACGCCAGGCACUCCUGUCUUCCACUGCCUCCCGCAGUUUGGUCAAACUCAUGUUCGUAGCUUUGAGAACACUGUCCAACCAUCUCAUCCUCUGUCGUCCCCUUCUCCUUGUGUCCUCCAUCUUUCCCAACAUCAGGGUCUUUUCCAGGGAGUCUUCUCUUCUCAUGAGAUGGCCAAAGUAUUGGAACCUCAGCUUCACGAUCGGUCCUUCCAGUGAUCACUCAGGGCUGAUUUCCUUCAGAAUGGAUAGGUUUGAUCUUCUUGCAGUCCAUGGGACUCUCAAGAGUCUCCUCCAGCACAAUAAUUCAAAAGCAUCAAUUCUUCAGCGCUCAGCCUUCUUUAUGGUCCAGCUCUCACUUCCACUACUGGGGAAACCAUAGCUUUAAUUAUACAGACCUUUGUCGGCAACGUGAGUCAGCUGUACUAGAGCCCAAUGACUUCAGUUAGCUUAAAGCAAGCCUAUUGGACUUCAGACACUGGCUCGGAUGCAGGGUGACCCAACGAUAAAGAGGACUGCUGCUACCUUUAAUAAUUGCAUAGAAGGGAGAAUUUCAGCAGGCAUGGUUUUUCUUGUCCUGGCAAAAAUUCCCUUGGCUGCACAGCAUACAAGCUAGAAUUUACCAAAUCUACUAUUGCACAAAUAUAAAAUACCUCAUGAUAGGCAUUCUUAGUGCAAUCUGCACAAUAUCUAGGGCUCUAACAAUAGGGAGUCACUUAUCACCACCACAUGCCUCUUCCUGCUUGGAGUAUUCCAAGGUCUGCAACUGCUGUUCUCUGUGGCAGUUGCUGAAAUAGAAAAGGCUGGCUUAUCAGUUGCUUGGAUGCCAGCCCCAGCCAUAUGGAACUGGGCACGACGGGCAUCUUCUUCUCAAACAAAGCACUGCAACCACCAACUACAUUUCUUGUGUGGCACCCAUCGAUUUCAUCAAAAGAUAUUCCUUUUGGGUUUUGCCCUUUAUGCAUUCUGCUUCUAAGUCAUCUGACCAAAUCAACCAGCUAAAAUUUUAGGCUUGUUUCAAAUAAGGAACAUGAAGGACAACCCACAGGAAAAGAAAACAAUUUUUCUAUAUGCCACGGCAGCCGCCAGAAUAGCCCUCACUAGUACAGUGGUACCUCAGGUUAAGUAUUUAAUUCGUUCCGGAGGUCCGUUCUUAACCUGAAACUGUUCUUAACCUGAAGCACCACUUUAGCUAAUGGGGCCUCCCGCUGCCGCUGCACGAUUUCUGUGCUCAUCCUGAAGCAAAGUUCUUAACCCGAGGUAAUAUUUCUGGGUUAGCGGAGUCUGUAACCUGAAGCGUAUGUAACCUGAGGUACUACUGUAAAUGGUAAGGGGAGGCGAUUCCCACAAAAGAUGAUUGGGUAUGUAAAUUAAGCGAAUUUAUAGAAUUAGCAAGGUUAACAGCAGCCAUAAGACUUCAGGCAAAUCAAAAAUUGAGAUUAGAAUGGCAGUGUUUUGAGGAAUAUAUGGAAAAACACAGCUCUAAAAAGAAUAUGUUGAUAUGCAUGGACUAAGUAUGUAAAGUAUAAAUGAUAACAAUAAUUAGAAAGGGUUAUAAGAGAUGCAUUAUCCAGAGAAUGCAAUGACAAUAUUCAAAUUUUCACCAAAGGAAGUUGAGUAGUGGUGGAGGGAAGUCAGGGGUGUAUAUAGGGCUUUGUGUUUGUAGUAUAGGGAUAUAUGUAUUUUUUUCUUUUUGUAUCAGUAUAUGUUUAUUUUAUUUUCAUUUUUUGUAUCAUUUAUUAAGAAUAAAUAAAAAAUUAUUUUAAAAAGAAAGAAAGAAAGAAACAUGAAUCUGUUUCUUUGAAUUGGAUUUGUAGACCACACAGCCUUAUAACCAAGGGGCACCUUUGCUGUUGGAGCUGGUCCAUGAGUCUCAGAUGCAAGUGAACCUUGAAAACCAGCAUUCCUACAGUGAUGCUACACUGACCUUUCUGCAAUAUCCCUCCAGCAUAUUCUUCCAUGCCCCCUUGGUACUUCUGCCUCCUUGCUGGCGUAUAUACCCUCUCUUUCCUUCCCUUUCUCCCCCCCCCCCAAUUGAGCAUAUAUUUAUAUCUUGCUGGUUGUGUUGCCAAGGAGCCCUGAAAGAAAGCAGAGCCGAGAUAACUUCUAAUCCACCUUUCUGUGAUAAUGUGGCGCAAGUGAAAAAAGCCAGGGUUCCUCUCUCGACGUUGUGGUAAGAGACCAGGGGCCUUUAAUAGACACCGUAGACAGAAAGCUUCCCAAGGACAGUCCUGAAAUGGAGGCAAGGACUAUGUUUCUAGAGAGCCAGGAAUCAUAAGUGUUUUCAGAAACUGAAUGGAGGCAGGAGAGGUGUGGGUGGUUACCGAUGACUCUCAUGGAAGAAACUAAGAUGUCAGGGCAAUUGACACAAUAAAACACGGACAGCCGUUUAGAAAACUGUAGGCCUGCCAUUUUAUUCAAUUAAAAAUGUUUUAUUAUUAUUUUUUGGCGAUUCAAAUUUUAUUUUUUACCAGCAACCAAAACACAAACAGUGAAACCCCCUAGGUGGCUGAUACAUUGGGUAUACAUAAUCAAUAAUAACAUAUUCAAAUCAACCAUAUGUACGAUUUUAUAUACGUUAACACUCCUCCACCCACAAGGUUUAUUUAACUUUUAACAUUUUAAUUGCCCCAGAUUGUUAUUUUAUUUAACUAAUAAACGUACAAGCUGUUUUUCAAGAGAGAAAUCCUCACAAAAAUGGCGUAUAAAUACAAAAUUAACCAACCAUCAAACGAUAUAAAAGUGAUGGAAAUUUUUUAAAACAUCCAAAAAUGCAAAAUAUUAAAAGGCAGCACAGAGCCACAAGCAACAUGGCAGAAAACUGAGCGCACUGUAAACAAAAAAAAUCACAAUGCAAUUUUUACAGUCCAAUAUAGAUCCGUCAUUAAAAGGUUAAGCAGAAAGGCUAGUUUUGAGAGCCCAUGUAAACCUAUCAGAGGAUGCUGCUUGCCUGUGCUCAAGUGGAAUUGAAUUCCACAGAUGAGGGGCCACCACUGAGAAGUCCUUGUUCAGUGUGUCCACCAAUCCAAUUGUGGGCAUCCAAGCAGGCCCCAUGAAGCAGAUAAGUUUAUAUGUGAUAAUUGUGUGAUUUUGCAAUAUUAGUUGAUUCCUUAACACUUUGGUGUCAUUUCGGGGGGGAAAGUGUACAUGUUUCUAUUGAGAACCUGCACAGGGUAGAUUAGGGACCAGAACCAGAAAAACCAGGUUCAAAUCUUCACAAUUUAGCUCCACUCUCACCUCUCUCUCUCUCUCUCAUUCUGCUUUAGCCAACCUCACAGGCCAGAAGAAAAAUUAGAGAUGUGCUAGUCUGAGGUCCUUAGAGCCUGCUAAAGAUAGGGAGGCCAUGGAAUUUCUUAUGUACUGAAGUUCUCACCCUGGGCCAGCAGGGGGAUACUGUAGUUUUCACUCAGGUCCACAUAUGCAAAUAAGGAAUUGAAAGUGACGUUCAGUGAUUGGAUAGUUACAGAAAGUUGUUACUGUUGCGUUCUAGUGGAGCUCUAUAUAAGCAGGUUGGCUGAACCCUUCAGCCCAGUUCUGUUCUGGGCCUGUUAAUAAACAAGAGCUGUUUGAUGAAUCGCUGUGUCGUCUGAUAUGUUCACCCACAACUUAACAGAAUUCAUGCUUAAAGCUUCCGGUGACCUGCCGUGAGACUUUCUCCCUUUGACGAUCUCCCUUUUUUCUGCGUCUGCCAGCUGUAAACAAGGUACAACCUCCAGGGGACUGUAACACUUCAUACACAUGUGGAAUCUGACAUGUUUAAAAGCAUCCCAAAAUUAAAAUCUCCUCAUACUUGAAUAACUGAUACCCCAGGGAUAAAGCUUCUAAAGGCCCACUAUGUCCCUGCCAUUGGUUUUUGUUGCUGCUAGCAUAAUCUGGGAACAUUUUUAUCCUCCAUCUGCGUAUCUGAUGUGGUACAAUCCUGCAACCACAUGCUCUGUUCAAUGUUUUAACCACCCCAAAGUACCACAAAGGCAAUAGGAUGUUCUAUAAAACCUUCAAGGUUUUAGGUGAGGGUGGUAUUCUUAGAUCACUUCAGUUGCUUAGUUCAUUCUGCACUGUGCUUGCUAAGAGUAUUUGUUUCUUCAAAGGCCAGUAUAAGGGGGCGGUUGAGAACCACUUGCCGUAGCGAUAAUAAAAUCGGUGAUAAAGGAACUGGAGAAGCUAUCUCCUUGCUAAAGUUGGUGGGUUGGUUUGGAUAAUAUGAUCUGUAAUUCUACCUGCAGAGUGGCUGAUCCAAUUCCUUUGACUUUAGCUGGAUUUUGUUUCUGUAACUGGGCACAAGAAUGCAGUACGGAACAAUAAAGGUGAAAUAUACUCAGAUUUCUGUAGUGAUUUCAUGCUCUUUAUUGCAACUUGUAAAACAGUGAUUGAAUUGCCCCCCCAAACCUCAGGCUUUUAUAUACAUUAUUUACACAAUCAGUCCCGUCUGAUUGGCUGAUUCUGUUUCCCUCUUGGAGCCUGACUGGUCUUUUCCUGCAGGCCAAUCAGUUGUUGCAUUCUAGGAUCCUACUUGCUUAUUGUUCUAGGAUCCAAGCUUAGUACAUAACAAAAGGUGUGGUUCAGGGGCCAAAAAUCCCAUCCCUGUGAUGGAGGAGAUAAUGUUUUCCACCCCUGAUGUAAGACACGAUACGGAUUCCCCAUUGUGACAGUGCACAGUUGCCCAGAUUUUACGAUUCAGAAGAAGGAAGAUCGCACAGUUUGCAUGUAUGAACCUCAGCUUCACAUGCCCACCCACACCUAUCUAAAAAAACCACAAAAAAACCAGUUAAGCAUCUGAACUGGGCUGCAGUAGUGCUAGCUGUCAGCAGAGCACAUGUCUUUUGCUUUCAUAAAUAAACCGUUCUUGCUUAGGAUAUUUUUCGAAUUUAUUAUUUUUUUAAAUGAAAACAAACACGAAGAUAUUCCUCACAAAUCUUUUGCAGACCCUUUGCCAGGCGGUUUAUUGUUCUUCAUUCCUGACAUUCACAUGUGCAUAUAAUGUGGGAAAAAAUUGACACCUGAUUCAGAAUAUGUUUACUUGGCAAGAAAUCAAGAAGCUGAGUUUUAAUAGCACUUAAUUUUAUGAGCAUGUGGUCUCAGCCCCACGAGCCUUAUAGGCUGCUCUGCAACCUGUUGCUUGGGCAGCAAAACUUCUGUCAGCUUCAGUGGGAAUUUCUUCUACACAGAUUCAGGAUUGGGACAUUUACUGGUUUCAAACUAUAGUUCAAACUAUUUCUCCUGCUUUUCUCACCCAGCCAGAUAUAUCCAGACAAUCCUUCAUAGAUUAUUGUACAUCUAUGUACAUUCCUCUCCAGCUCAUUAGAUUGCAGUGGUAUUUAAUGCAUUCUCAUGUGGUUUUAUCCAGUGGCAAGUGGCUUCUUGCUCACGUUGCACAAAAAGUAGCCAGCUGUUGCUACCAGUAAAAUAAUGAGCAGAUGUGAUGAAAACAGGUUUGUUGCUCAACAGUAGGAUCACCCAGGCGUGGCCUUUCCACCUACGCUCCUUGUGGCGUCCUUCUGCAAAAAUGGCAGGUUGGGGGGGAAUGUCAGCCAGACAACAGGAAAGCUUUCAUUUAGGGAUUUUAUGGGAACAUUAUUUAAUACUAAAUAUGUCUUAGAAAGAUCACUGCAGAUGGUGACAGCAGUCACGAAAUUAAAAGACGUCUGCUUCUUGGGAGAAAGGCGAUGACAAACCUAGACAGCAUCUUACAAAGCAGAGACACCACCUUGCCAACAAAGGUCCAUAUAGUUAAAGCCAUGGUUUUCCCAGUAGUGAUGUAUGGAAGUGAGAGCUGGACCAUCAAGAAGGCUGAUGGCUUAAGAAUUGAUGCUUUUGAAUUAUGGUGCUGGAGGAGACUCUUGAGAGUCCCAUGGACUGCAAGAAGAUCAAACUGAUCCAUUCUGAAGGAAAUCAGCCCUGAGUGCUCCCUGGAAGGACAGAUCCUGAAGCUGAGGCUCCAAUACUUUGGCCACCUCAUGAGAAGAGAAGACUCCCUGGAAAAGACCCUGAUGCUGGGAAAGAUGGAGGGCACAAGGAGAAGGGGACGACAGAGGACGAGAUGGUGGGACAGUGUUCUCAAAGCUACCAGCAUGAGUUUGAUCAAACUGUGGGAAGCAGUAGAAGACAGGAGUGCCUGGCGUGCUCUGGUCCAUGGGGUCACAAAGAGUCAGACACAACUAAACAACAACAACAAAAUGUCUUAGAAAAGAGAAAAAGGGAAGGUGAUACAAAACUGAUCUCAGAGAGGCCUUAUGUCUGGCCACUCCAGAGCACUCUAAUUUUGGCUAUGUCACAAGGUUCAGAAAGAUGAUGGUGCAUUUUGGCAAAACAAAUAAAUUAUCUUGCAAUAUUUUGAUACUACAGAGGGGAAUUUCUUGUGGUUGACCUUCCCUGCCUACAAAUCGGAGGCAAACAGAAUGUUGUCACCAAAACAAUUGACUCAGCUGUCCACGUUUGAUGCUGUGGAGUCGGACAAGAUUCUUCCCCCCACUAUUUAAAAAAAAAAUUUGUUUUUUGAAAAUGCCCUCCUAUUAUUAGUAUUAUUAUUAUUUUGUUUCUAAGCCUUUGUUGACAUUGACAGCUCAUCCUUUGGCCAUCAUUCAUCCCGGCUACUGCCAACUUUGGAGAAAAUAAAAACCCUGCUCCCCUAAUCCGAUUAGAGGGCUGGCAAAUUGAAUCUUGCCCCUCUCAGUGUCCCCUCAGCUGGCUGUCAUUAGGAACAUAGCCUGGCCUUUGGCGAGGCUCCAAACACCACCUAACUGAAUUUGAGAUGCUGGAGUCCUGACAGGCCAAGGAAGGUAAUUGAAGAGCUGUGGGGAUCUUGUAAAAUUUCAGCCAGCAGGGAUUACACAGGGGAUCCAGGAGACCCAGCUGUAGCAGAGACGGGAGCACUAAAAAGCCACUGUCUGGCCCCCUCUUUCUUUCUUUUCAUUAUUAUUGAUAAAGAGAUUGGGGAAAGAGAUGUCAAAUUAGGGUGAAUAAAAACAUAGCAUCAGGUUAUCGGCCCGAACCAAAUGUCUGCUAGAACGGAAGCCUUCGUUUCUAUUUAUAUCUAAAACACAUGAGGGUGCCUUGUGGAAACUGACGACUCUUGUUUCCAGGUAAACAUGUAUAAAAUCUUGAUGAAAGCCUUUUCCUCUCUCUGAUGAUGGACCCAAAUAUCAAAAUCACCAAAGUACUUCCUGUUCUUUUGGGGGUGAUCAAUACCAUAUAACUGCAAAAAGAAAGAUGCAUGGAUGUAGUAAUUCUUUUAAUGAACUUGCACCUAAACAUUUAGCCCAGCUGGAAAAUUAAUUGUGAUUUUAGUGAAAUCAUGUUGAGCCAUUGGUAAAUCUCUGCUCUCUGACUGGAUCUGUGUUUUCUCACCUAGGUACUAAUUGCCUGUGUGUAUCCUGAGUUUGCAUCUAAUUUAAGCAGGCACAGUCCUGUUUGCCUAACUGGAAUUUUCCCAUGCGUUAGUGUUCAGAGAAUUUCAAAAAUCUGAAUUAGUCUAGCAGUUGGGAGGAGAAAUUAUCCCAAAUUAUAGUAUCUAAUAGAUGUAUGAUAUUGCUGCCUGAGGCGUAGUGAGGCUUAUACAUAAACAUUAUUUUUGUGUACAAAACACACACAAAGAUUUGACCAACAUUGUCAUGUGUGUGGCCGAUGAACACACAUCUAUCACUAUCUGUUUAGAACCCUGUGUGUGCAUACAGAAAUCUCUCGCUGUCAUUGUUUGAAAGCUAUGCAAAACAUGCUCAUCACUAUUUGUUCUCACCCAGCCAAAUCUAGAAAGGCGCCUUCAACACAUGGCAACCUAACCUCAUCAGAUUGUCACUUUCCUUUCUGACAAAAGGGGCACAGAAUUCCGCUCACCUGCUCUGUAGGGACUGAAAGAAUGAGACUGUGGAAAAGAAGGCAAUCUCUCAGCCACUGCUCUGAUGCAAUCACCAUUCAUCUAAGAGCAAAGAGGGGUUCAACACUUUCCCAGUUAGUCUGGGAGCGCCUUCACCUUACUCAGGACAGGUGUGUAUGUUCUCUCCUGGGACAAGCUCUGAAAAGCCAGUUGUGCAAAUUUUUCAGCAUGAUGAUUCCUCACCUUCCCACUCCUGUGCUCAAUCCCUGGAACUGGGUUGCAACUUUCUCCCCAAAAAGUUUGGCACCCACUGUGUGGGGCCCAAUUAGGGCCCCUGGCAGAGCAUCAAUGGCAGAUCCCUGGCAUCUCCUGGGUGACACCCAUGGCUCAGGGUUAUAUUGAUGGGGUUAUCUGGUUUAACUCACACAACAGUGACUCAGGUAAGAUGCAGAGAUUUUAUCUUUUUUUUUAAUUCAAAAUUAUAACAAGACAUAUUAUCCAAAAACAUAUCAUCCUUGUCCCCCCCCAUUUUUCCUCCCUCUCCCCCUCCCACACAAAAUCCAUCCACCCCCACCCCACCCCCUGACUUCCCUCAGUUCCAGUCUUUGAUUUCUCUAAGAAUGCUGUUUUCUGCAUGUUACAAAGUUGUAUAGAUCCUCAGACUAUUUAGCUGAUUAUUAUCAAUAAAAAGUUUGUGAAUGUUUAUUCAAAACCUGCCAAGGAGUCCAGUUCGCUUUGUUGUGUCUUCAGAUACUUUGUAAAGGGUUCCCAUUCAUCCUUAAAGUCACAGUUAUCCUUGUCCCAUAGCUUAUAUGUCAGUUUUGCCAGUUCUGCAUAGUCCAUCAAUUUUUCUUGCCAUGAUUCUUUAGUUGGGGUUUCUUCAGUCUUCCAUCUUUGUGCUACCAGAACUCUCGCAGCCGUUGUCGCAUACAUGAAGACGUUUUUCAACUUUUUGGGCAGGUCUUUCCCUACAAUCCCCAACAAAAAUGCCUCGGGUUUUUAACAAAUGUUAAAUGGAACAUUUUCUUCAAUUCGUUGUAUAUCAUUUCCCAAAAUUUUUUAAUUACCUUACAAUCCCACAAGAUGCAGAGAUUUUAUCAAGGCCUUGAUGGCCGCAAGUGAACUCAUAGCUUCGAAAUCCAGCCUCCGUUCGUGACACCACACUGCUUCUCUGUACACAGCACAUUGAGGACCAUUUCCAAAGGUGGGCUGUGAGCAUCUUCCAGCAGUAGUGUCAGGCUUUUGGUGAAAAUGUUCAGUUGGCUUUUGGUGGCAGGGUUAGGGUAGUAUGGAAAUAUUUUGUUUUUGAGAUUGGGAUUUUUGCAAUCAAAUCAAGCAAUUUGUGGGUCCCCAGAUGUUGUUGGACUACAACUCCCAUCAUCCCUGAGCUCUGGCCUUGCUAGCUAGGGGUGAUGGGAGUUGUAGCUCAACAACAUCUGGGAACCCACAGGUUGAGAAAGGCUGAAUCAACCAAUUCUUGUCUGUUCCUUCCAAAUCCACACAGCAUGAAAAGCAACGGUGUUUUGUUCCUAGUGGUAGACAGCUACCCGUUAUUUCUCUUCAUCUGGAAAUCUCGCUGUUUCUCAUGCGAGUUUUCAGUUGGGGAAGACACAUUCUACCCAGGAGCUCCCAGCACCCAGAAUCCAUCCAUGUAGUAGGCCUGCCAUGUCACAACAGUCUGAACAUCUGGGUUUGGGGGGGGGCAGAGGAGAAAUCCACUUCUCCACUGUGUGGUGGUUGUUUCAGAGGACAACAAAGCCCUCACCAACUCAAAAUCUGAUGGAGGAAUCUUUGGGAGCCAUGGGUCUCUCCCUCCCUCAAACUCAGUCUCCUUGUUAAGCUUCGCAUGGGGUUUCCCAGGAGAACAAGGACUAGUCGUCACCUGAAUCCUGCCGCAUGUGCUUUCCCUCCCUCCCUCCCUCUCAUGGAGGCGUUUUGCACUUUCUGAAAACGGCCUCCCAUCAUCUCCUUUCAAGCUCCAGCCCUUCUGGACUUGUUAGCUGUACGGGCAAGCACUAAGGCCCCACUUUGUAUAAUGGUUUAAUUACAAUGUCAACGUGGAUUCAUUAGCAUGACAGCUGUCACUGUAAACGGGCGAGUGGGGAGGCUUUCAGAGCCCCCAGGGUCAGGGUAAUUGAUGUAGUGAACAGAAUACUGUAUUUGCCAAACAAAAGGAUGGGGCUCUAUCUUGACCCGAGAAGGGCAAUCAGUGUAAUCAAGGAAUCGAUAGCAGCUGCAUUUUCAUCAGUGAUCAGAGCGAUUCAGCCACCCGCCCACCUGAUUAUGUCCUGGCUGCUAUAGCCUAGGUGGCAAUCACUGACUUUGUACGAUUUGUGCACUUUCUCCUAUGGAAAGAAUUCCCCUUACUAUUUCCAGUUUUUUCUGCGGUUAAGCAGAACACCCCCCCACCCCACCCCCCCAGAGAUUCCCCAUUUUCUUAAUUGGGGAAUGAUAGGUGUUUUGCUGCUAUUAGGGGUAAGUAUUGCUUCAUGCCCCAAAUGGUUUUUUUUAAGAGCAGAAUGUUGGAAAUAACUAACAUAAUAUUUCAUUAAUUGCUUACUACAUUAAUAUCCUAACUUUCCUCCAAGGAACCGUACGCAGUUCUCCCCUCUUCAUUUUCUCCUCACAACAACCCUGUGAGGUAGAAUAAUAAUAAUAAUAAUAAUAAUAAUAAUAAUAAUAAUAAUAAUUUAUUUAUACUCUCCCAUCUGGCUGGGUUUCCCCAGCCACUCUAGGCGGCUUCCUAAAAAAUAUUAAAAUACAGUCAUGCAUCAAACAUUAAAAUCUUCCCUAAACAGGGCUGCCUUCAGAUGUCUUCUAAAAGUUUGCUAGUUGUUUUUCUCUUUGACAUCUGGUGGGAGGGCGUUCCGCAGGGCCAGCGCCACCACCUAGAAGGCCCUCUGCCUGGUUCCCUGUAACUUGGCUUCUCGCAGGGAGGGAACCGCCAGAAGGCCCUCGGAGCUGGACCUCAGCAUCCGGGCAAAACGAUGGGGGUGGAGCUACUCCUUCAGGUUAUGUGAUUAGCCCAAGGUCACCCUGUGACCUUCUUAGGUUAGUGGUGAUUUGAAGCCUGGUUUCCCAGGGUCUAGCCUGGCAUGCUAACCUACGCUGGGAUUUCUCUGAUAGCUCAACUUUUCUUCUUGUUUCUUAGUGUAAAGGUAUAGAACAAUGUAUGUAUACACACUCACAAUUUCUUAUACUGGUAAUACAUGGAGUCCAAGUCCUCAUCCCCCCCCCCCCCAAAAAAAAAGAAUCUUGAGGCAUUGCUUGCCAUCAUGCAGUCAAACAUAUUCAGUUGUUUUAGCUGUAAGUGCUUAUUCUCCAAAUCUUAAAGAACCAUUCCCAGUUGUUGGCAGUUUAUUUAUUAUUAAAUAAAUGAUUAAAUUAAAUUCCAGACUAACAGGUGGUGAUCCUUGAAUAGAUAAUCUUUCAUAUAUCUUAGUCUACAAUUUAAUUAACCUUUCGGAAAGAACUGGGUGACAAAUACCAACUGUAAGUAAGUAAGUAAUUUUUAUUUAUACCUCGCCCUCCCGGCCAAGACCGGGCUCAGGGCAGCUAACAUCAAAUAUCAAAUACAUUAAAACACAAUCAAACAAUUGAUUAAAAUACAGCUUAAAAAAUAGAAUCAGGAUAAAAUUAAAUGUAAAUGGUUUUAUAAUGCUUUUCUUUUAUACUCAUGCAAGGCGAAAAAGCAGACGCAAUGGUAGAAGCAAGCAGAUCUCCUUGAAAACCACCUCAAAUUCUGCAAAAUUGGCUCAACUUCUGUUUUGAAGAAGAUUUCGGUGAAAAAGGUAGGGGAGAGUCGGGUUCCAGGAGAGAACAAGUCAGGCUAGUCUAGGGUUGUCCAAGAAACACUUUGUUUAAUCAAUGUGCCGCUGUUAACAAGAAACUUUAGAGGGAAAGCAUUUUCAAUUCCUAGGAUGCCCAGGUUCUGUCCUUAGUGCUAGAUUUGCUGCUGAUCACACACAGCAUGAAGUUUAUAAAGCAAAUUUGUCCUGGUUUGUGGUGAUCUAAUGACUUCAUCCAGUCACUUCAUGCCUUAUGAACCAGAUUUACAUAAUAUCUUCACUGCAGCCACAGAAGUUCAUUCUGCAAAGAGCCUGAAUGUAGAAAUAUUCUGUGACUGUAGAUCCUCAUGUCAUGAGUAUCACCAUCCUGUGACUGGUUCAAAAUAUAAAAUAAAACUAUUAAUAUUGCUAAUGGAUAGGGGAUGAAGCAGGUGGAAGGAACCUGACUGAAUCUAUUUGACUGAAGAAGAGACUUGCACCCACAUGCACACACACACACCCCAUUUGUUGUGUCAUCUCCACUGGUUGCAUAAGUGCUUUUAAAAUAAUGAAAUUACUUCCAUCAGAAAAAAGAGAGAUGCCUGCAUGAUAGGUUUGAGGUGGGGGGGGGGAGUAGGGAGUAGGGAAAGAAGGAUAACCUGCAUAAAAAUCCCAAACACUAUUGUCACAAUAAUUGCAACAUCUAAAUAAUUCUAAACUCCCUCCUGUCCAUACACUUUGUUCUGCAAGUCCCCAGGAAGAUGAAUUGUCAAACUUUUCCAGUAUUAAGGAGGAACGUGCACAGCAAAAAGAAAAAGAAAUAUCUGCCCUUCCAUCAGUCUGAAAGGUUUAUAUGGGUAUCUUGUUUAUAUGACAUGGAUCAAAGAGAAUCAACUGGCUGCCUGUGCAGUCGCAAAGCAAUUAUAUUUGGCCUUUGAUUUCCCCACCAAGUUUUAAUUGAGAGAGGUUUAAAAGCAAUGCUUGGAGUUUCACUUCCAAGGAAAAGAAAAUAUCCCAUUUCAGGUUACAUGAAUGUGUGGACAGGAGGGGUGGGGAUUAUGUACAGUGAUUCCAUCCUUGACAGCUAUGUGUUCAUCCAGAAGUCUGUAAAGAGCCUUCGCUUAGGCUCCGUAAGUGUGAGAUUGUGUGAAAAGAGUUUAUGCGCCUAUAAUUUAUGCACAUGCAGGCUCUGUGCAGAUCUUCAGAUCAAAGCAUGGGGGUCAGGUGCAGGUGUAGUCCCACUCCACCCUGCUCACACAUGCAUUUUACCUGAAUUGAUGUCUCAAUAGGGAGAAUAACCCUGUGGGCACAUUUCAACCAAAUCUCACUGAAAUAAAUGGGACUUUCAUGAUUGAGUCUCAUUUUAUUGCCAGAUCUCUUGACUAACCUUUGCUAGAUUGCACCCUUUCAUAUAAAAGGGACGCGGGUGGCACUAUGGAUUAAACCACUGAGCCUCUUGGGCUUGCCGAUCAGAAGGUCGGCGGUUCGAAUCCCCACGACGGGGUGAGCUCCCGUUGCUCAGUCCCAGCUCCUGCCAACCUAGCAGUUUGAAAGCACGUCCAAGUGCAAGUAGAUAAAUAGGUACUGCUCUGGCGGGAAGGUAACUUUCCGUGCGCUGCUCUGGUUCGCCAGAAGUGGCUUAGUCAUGCUGGCCAUAUGACCCAGAAGCUGUACGCCGGCUCCCUCGGCCAAUAAAGCGAGAUGACCUCAACCCCAGAGUCGGUCACGACUGGACCUAAUGGUCAGGGGUCCCUUUACCUUUACCCUUUCAUAUAAACAUGGUGCAUCUUCUGAGAAAGCAAACCUGCCACUUGAGGAGACCCUUAAGGAAGUCUUCAUUUUUUAGCCUGCCUUCCUGCACAGGGAUGACCACACGCCACCUGAGGGCAGUCCACAGCUAUGAAACCCUUCUAUUAUUGCUCAGUGAUGCUAACUGCCUAUAGAAGGUCAGGUUGCUGAACUAGUGUCUGGAGAAUAGAGCAGUCCCUGGACACACUGGUUCACCAUCACUGCCAUGGGCAGUGACCUCCCUGAGGUACAAGCCUGGGCAAUGUGUUUGGGGGUUCUGGGCAGCUCAGGUGACAAGACUUUGGCUUUGCUGAUGUGGUCCCAAGGAACAAUAUGUUUGGCACCAGCAUGGCUGUAGGAGUUGCCCAAACUACAAGGUGCCAUCCAACCAUAUUAGGAACUCCAUUCAGAUUUGUAUAGGGUUUACUCCUGAGCCUUUUCUUCUUCUGAAUAUAUCUUGCAAGGCAGUGGAAGUUUAGGAUCAGAGUUUUCUUCUCCUAGAUGAGCUACCUUUCCAGGUUAACGAGUCCCAUUUGCCCCUCACUUCCAUCUACAGCACAUGCAGAAACCACCUUCUUUGUGCUGGGCCCAGGGGUAAACCCAAGCAACGCGGUCCAGGUCCGGUCCUGAAUCCAAGGGUUCUGCAAAGAGUCAGUCCGACAGGGGCAAGGCAGGAAACCAGGCUAAGUCAGGCACAGAGUCACAGGCAAGUUCUAGCAAACAGCAAUGUUGCUCCCACCACCUGGGGCAGGGUCCAACAGCCUUUUAUCUCUGUCGGGGUAACGGCCGGUCCUGAUCCCCCGGUGCCUCACCUCCCUGUUUCGCCCAAAGGCGAGCGCUCCUCCUGUGAGUACUCAGGUCUCUCCUUCUCUCCAACCUAAGGCUAUGCAGCUCAGGAGACGUUGGUGGGUUACUAGACCCAGAGGCCGCCUCAGCCUCUCCUGACCCAACUGGUGGUGGAGCAGCUGUAAGUGAUGGUCCAGCUGAAGGCAACGAGGUAAUCCCUGCAUCUGGAGCCAGGGCAGGCUCAGGCCCCUGACUCGGCCCAGCUGGUGCUUGUUGCAGGGGAACCUGUGCAGACUGGGGCUCUUCAGAAUCAGGCCCCAGACUAGGUUCAGAUGCCGCCUGAGGCAGAGGAUCCGGUGCAGACUGAGACUCCUCUGGUUCCGAGUCCGAGCCUGAGUCCCAGGCCAUCUCAUUAUUGACUGUUGGACCCACUAUUGGUCGUGUCCGCUCAAUCUGCCGGAGCCUAUAUUCACAUGCAUGCGAAGUCUUUAACUCAGCAAGGGUUGGAGACCUAUCGGCUACCCUCACCUGGUUUAGCUUGCCAGUUGAAUCCAUUUACCAGGGUGAGGCCGCUGUCACAUGCUGACAGCUUUUAGCAGCCUCAGGUGAGAGCUGAGUACCAGGUGGGAGCCUAAGGUGGACAAAGUAGCCCAGAAGGAGCAUGACGUGGUCCCCACCAGAGGUACUACUCCUCCCUUAACAUCUCAUACACCUCACACUGACAUGUGGGUAUGUAUAUAUUUCUCUGUGUGAGCAUAGCUGGCCUAAUUUACAUGGCAAAAUGAACAUGCUGAUAACCAAGACUACUGGGUGGAUCAGUCAGAGUUAGUCUGGCAGAGAGUGAAGUGGUGGGGAUGAUUCUUCUUAGCCUGUGGUGACCUCAGAGACGAAACAGCCUGAACUGAAGUGGAAUUUGGGAGCAAGUCUUGGUAUUAUUUUUUUAUUUAUUAAUUGCCUACCCUUCACAGUAAGGUUCCAGGACAGAUCACAACAUUAAAAACAGUAUCAAACAAUCCACAAGGUGCGUCCCAAAAGCAUAACCUUCUGGUGUCAAGCGCCAACGAAAAGCUGUACAAUGAAGGCACCAAGAUGCACCUCUGUGGAAAGAGUUAGAUAGCAGUGGACAAGGAAGGAAAGUGAGACAAGAAUAAUUCAGGAAAAGAUGUUGGUGAAUACUUGGGCCUCCAAGAAUGAGGACUGGAAACUUUUCUUUCUUGAACUGAUAAAACUCAGAAUCUGAGGAAGCCUUUGCUUUUUUUGCUUGUGGGGUUUUUUUAUUGUUUCAUUGUUUUACUAAGCUUGCGGCUUGAACAAUGUGAAACCUCAGAGCUUCAAUAAUCCUGUCCUCAUCUGGCUUUUGAAAUAGCACUGCAAAUGGUGUAAAAAAAGAAAAGCCCAUUGCAGGAAACUUUGCAUGCCAAGAGCUGCACCUGGGCUGAACCGUGCAUGUGCUAUAGGAGUUUCCUGCCCAUAAAUGGGUUUAGGAGGUGACAUCUAAAAAUGGACUGGGUAAUUCAGAGAGAAUCCCAGGCUGCAUUUCUGUUGAGCCAGCCACUCCACUACAAUAGCUUCUGAGAAAGAUCCCUGUUGUGAUCCAGAGAGACAAUGUCCCUGGAAUGUGUGGAAUCUGUAUUCAACUACCACCACUUUCAUGUCUCAUUGAGGGUCAUUUAUUAGAACAAAACUAAUUAUUUUAAAAACCCACAAAUUACAGCACUCAGUUUGGAGACCUUUGCAUCACUGUCUUUCCCAGACCAUAUACAUCCCAAUAUCUAUAGUCAGUGUAUUAGCACUGGCCAAGAAAAUUUUCUCAAAGCGAUUGAAGGCCCCUUUCCUUUCUCCUGUAGAUUUUGAAUUCUCCCUCUAAGGAACUGGGGUAGGGGGGAAUUGAGUGUGCUGGAAGUGAUUUGAUAGUGUCAAGUCAAAUCUCUGCCAUGAGCAUUCUAGGUGGCAUUUUAGAUAAGCCUCAAUAGCUCAGUUGGUAGAAUAUGAGACUCUUAAUCUCAGGGUUGUGAGUUUGAGCCCCAUGUUGAGCAAGAGAGAUUCAAGUUGCAAAAUUGGGCUCCUUCAUCUGUCUUUUUUAAAAAAAAAAAUUAUUAACAAAUUCAACGAAACAAAUCAACAAUACAAAUCAUCCUCAUUGGUUUUUCCCCCUGUCCCAUUUCCCCCCUCCCACCUCCCCAACAAACCCUCCCUCCCUCCCCCCCAAGACUUCCCUCAGCUCCUCUCUCUGAUUUCUCAACUCAUAUUGUUCUCUGCAUAUUAUAAAAUUGUAUACAUCCUUAUAUUAUCUAUCCAUCAUAUUAACCCAAUAAAUUUGUGUAUGUUUAUUCGAAACCUGCCAAGGAGUCCAAUUCAUUUUGUUGUCUUUUUAAGUAGACUGUAAAAGGUUCCCAUUCUUCUUUAAAGUCACAGUUGUCUUUAUCUCGCAAUUUACAUGUCAGUUUCGCCAGUUCUGCAUAGUUCAUUAAUUUCUCUUGCCACUGUUCUUUUGUCGGGAUUUCCUCAUUCUUCCAUCCUUGUGCUAUCAAGACUCUUGCCGCCGCCUUUGCAUACAUAAACAAAUUCUUAAUUUUUCUUGUUCUUGUCUUGUUCAACAAUCCCUAACAAAAAUGCUUCUGGUUUUUUUACAAAUGUCAUUUUAAACAUUUUCUUCAACUCAUUAUAUAUCAUUUCCCAAUUUUUUUAAAUUUCUCUGCAUUCCCACCACAUAUGGUAAAAGGUCCCUUCCUUUUCUUUACAUUUCCAACGUAUAUUUGACCCAGUUUUAUACAUUUUUGUGAUCUAUAGUGGUGUGAUAUACCAUCUGUCCAUCAUUUUCAUGUAAUUUUCUUUCAAAAGAGAGCAGUCUGUAAAUUUUAAAUCUAUUUUCCACAGUUUUUCCCAGUCUUCAAAUUGUAUAUUAUGCCCUAUAUCUUGUGCCCCUUUGAUCAUGAGCGAUUUCACCUCUUUUGUUUCCCAUUCUAACAGAAUACUAUAUGCACCCAUCAGCAAUUUCAUUUUCCCUUCUAUGACUUCCUUUUGAAAUCUAGUAGUAUAACUAAAUCCUUUCUUGUUAUCUUUUUUAUAGAUCUCAUGUAAUUGCCUAUAGUGUAGCCAACUCUGAAAAUGAUCUUUUAUUUCCUCAUACUCUUUUAAUUUCCAUUUCCCUUCUUGUUCUUUUAGCAAAUCACUAUAUGUAAGCCACUUCCCUUUCUUGCCAAAUGGCUUGAGCAGCAAAGCUUCAAUUGGUGAGAGCCGCCAAGGUGUCUUUUGUUCUAGUAAGUCUUUGUAUCUCUCCCACACCCUCAUUAAUGAUUUCCUAAUUAUAUGAUUAUAGAAUCCUUUAUGUACUUUUCCUUUCCCAUACCAUAAAUAUGCAUGCCAUCCAAAUCUGUUAUCGUGGCCUUCUAAGUCCAAUCCUUCCUUCAUCUGUCUUUACUUUAAAUUUUCCUCUUCCUUUCCUUCUGUGUAGAGACCAUCAUGAAAUCCUGAGGACAGUCAAGGACACCCCUGUUCAUGCAAGCCAAGGGUCUGUGGCUGCUCACUUUGAGUGGACUGUCUUGAUCUUAUCUGAGUUUUACCACUCAUUCAUAGACAAGGACCAGAUCUAUUCUUGUGCAUCCCAGGCCACACUCAGAUCUCAGAUGCUCUUAGGGUGGGGCAGUAAGAAUAUUAACAAUAAAAACCCAUCAAUCCUAAUUUGAAUGUACAGUGGUACCUCUGGUUGCGAACGGGAUCCGUUCCGGAGCCCCAUUCGCAACAUGAGCAGAACGCAACCCGUGUCUGCACAUACGCGGGUCGCAAUUCGCCGCUUCUGCACAUGCACGAGACAUCAUUUUGAGCAUCUGCGCAUACGUGAGUGGCGAAACCUGGAAGUAACCCUUUCCAGUACUUCCGGGUCGCCGCGGGACGCAACCUGAAAAGAUUUAACCUGAAGCAAACAUAACAAGAGAUAUGACUGUAUAAAUUUAUAAAGGCAGUAUCGAAAUGAGAUUAACAAUUAUAAGACAUGCGUUCAAACCUCGAAGAGCAGUGAGAUUGUCAGAUCACUGAGCAGUAGGUGGUGGGUAUUUGUCCUUCCAGUCUUGCAAUAUAAAGCCCCAUCCGAACUAUACAAUUAAACAUUUUCAUAUCACUCUAAACAGUCAUGGCUUCCCCCAAAGAAUUCUGGGAACUGCAGUUUGUUAAGGGUGCUGGGAGUUGCUAGGAUACCUCUGUUUCCCUCACAGAGCUACAGUUGUCAGAAAACAGUCAAUCCCUUUUCCCAGUGUACCCUGGAAAUGGUAGCUUGGUGGGUGGGAUAGGAAUCUCUUCACAACUCCCAGCAGAACCUAACCAUUUACAUUAGUAGGAUGGUAUUCACCUAGAAUAAGAAAUUUGACAGUUGUGUGUGAGUCUAGCACAAUGAAAUAAACCCACGUGCUAAUAAAUCAGUUGGUCCUGCAGAAAUGUUGGCUUCGAGUCCCUUGCUUCUACCUAACAAAUUGUUGGCAGUCCUUGAAACUGGCUUGGCUUCCGUUUUCCUCUUCAGCAGACCAACCAACUUGAGUACUUCUUCUGUAAUUACCAUUACCGUAUUCAGUAUUAGCUGAUUGCUUCUACGUAUCUUUUUUGACAUUAUUAUCUCCUAGGGUCUCUCUCUCAUUCUGUUUUAUGUUGUGCAGGAAAAGGAAAAGGAAAACCCUAGGCCCAGAUUUAUCCCAAUGGUACACUUAAUCCUUUUGUUGAUCUAUUAUUUCACUGCAUAGAGGAAAAGCAAGAUUAAGUGACAAUUUUUUGAAACCUCAGAUCGGCAUUAUAAUAUUGGUUUGGUGACCUCAGUUCGCUUUCUGCUUCAUUUCUCUCUUGAUCUCAUGUCAUACAAUGUGUUGUUUUCUUGGGUUGUGUCACUUUGGCUGAGCUGGCAACCCGCUGUGAGCUAAGUUCAGCUUGGUUGAAGAAAUUGGAUCCAUGUGACUUGAAAUAUUCUAGGAUCCUAUCCCUUUCAGCAGAAGCCAAGCCUAUGCACCUUCAGAGUUUUACAUGUUAUUUGGACGGAGGUGCAAGUCAUUCUUCAGAGGGACGGUUCUGUCUAUGUAACAGAGUCAUCAUUUUUGAGGAAGGACAAGAAGAAACACUUUGAGAGCCCUUUUAUUUUGCCAGCUUUCUUAUAUGAAUGUUCAGUAAAAACCAUAAAUCUGUGCUCUUGUUUAGCGUGGCAUGUACUCUGCCUCUAAUCCAAUUUCUCCUCAGUUUGGUCUCUGUACAGCCUCAUUCGGCCUGACAGCUAUUUAAUAAACCUAUUUGCUUUUCUUUGACAUGAGGCAGAAGUGGUGGGUGUUGAAGAGCUAUAAGGCCCUGGUGCACCAUGAAACCUUGUCCAACUCAACACUCUUCCAGCUCAGCACAAAUAGAUUGUGUAGAACUCAAAAUUAACCCAUCCAAACCGCCUGCAGUUUUUUCUUUCUAAUUUCUUAGCGUAACCCGCAUGAACCGGUUCCAGUCAGAUUUACGCUUUCUUUCUCUCAAAGAAAACAUUUAUUUAUUUCUUGCCUCUAAUCAAAUUUACACAUUCAGAGAUCAGGGAGCUUCUUCACAGACUGUCAACAGAGCAUUAUGGAUGCAACCCAUCUCUCUUUGAAACAUUAUUUUCACAUAGCUCAUUGUUGUACACGAAGCUGGUUUGCGCCCUUUGUUUUUUAAAGAACAGUAUCUAAGGAUGCAUCCAGACAGGUAUAAUUUGAACAGUGAGCUUACUGUGGAAUCUCACUGUGUUUUGCGUGGAUGCACAAUCUUUUCCAAAGAUUAAGUUCAGGAGAAAUCCAUUCUUAACUUAGCUUUGUGCAACACUGAUUGGUUGACUUUCUGUGACAUCAUGGGGCCACUUCCUCUUCCUUCUCCAGAGCAACUUUCAAAUAAAAAAACUAAUUUGUGUUUCUUUGUUUGAUAAACGAAAGGUAAUGAACAAAUAUUCAUUGAAUGAACAUCUAUAAUGCACUUUCAAAAGCAAGAAACAUGGAAAGUCCUCUUGUAGCAUGGGGAGAGAGCAAGCGAGAAAACUAGAUGAAACAGUGUUUGAUUAACCCUUUUAAUUUAAAUAAUACAGAAAAAACAAAACAUCCACAGAAAAGAAAAAAUGAAAUUGAAAGAAUGAAAUUGAAAAAACACAGUUCAAAAACAUUGAAAACAAACAUACUUAUUGUAUAGUACUCCCCACACCCACCCACAGCUUCCCUUCACCAUAAUUCGACUUCUUUAAAUCUCUAUCUCUACAUUUACCCUUGUAUUCUCCAAAUGUAUCGUUAUUUGUACUUCUUUUAUCUCUUUUCUUUUCCAGUUCAUACAUAUACUUUACAUUUUUAUUCUAGGCAUAUUAGCAUGUCUUUCUUAGAACAAUACUUUAACAUAUAAUCUUAGAAACAUUUUUCCUUUUUAAAUUUUUGAUUUGACUGAUAUCUUUGAUUAGUAUAUAUUUAAGUAGCAUUUCCCACAUGGCAGUGGCUGCAACAGAAAAGUUAUGGAAAGGGGUGCAGAAUGGGCAAAGUACAUUUCUGAGGUGAUUGUCUUUGUCCUAUAUAUAUCUCUAAAAAUGAUUCAUGCUUCCAUUCUAAACAUAUUUUCCCUGUAGCGAGUCCAGCAGAUUUUGAUGGAGUUGUGUUUCAGAUAAGCAUGCUUAGGAUCACUUUAUUUUGAUUUCCAGAUAGGUAGAUAUUUACAUCAGCCACCAGCCAUUACAAUUUGUGUACAAAGCGCAGACUUAUACAACAACUAAGCUGAUAAAAUUGCCAAGCUAAAUUAAAUAUGAUACCAUUUAAAACGAAAGAGAACAUCGAUGCGGCCCUGCCAGAUUAUGAUUGGUUUAUAAUUUGUAUAUAAAAAGUUAAUUUCCAUCAAGUCACCACAGGAGUCCAGCAACAGGGGAUAGGGCAGAAAUAUUUGCUGGGAGGUGGGCGUUGGUUGCUUUGGGUUGCCUGGGCAAGAGAAAUGGAUUAACAAAUUUAAAUCAUCAUCGUCAUCAUCAGUUCCCCUUCCCCCUCUGGCUCUGCCUAUGGCAUAUGAGAGGAAGCCAACCUCAGUGCAUCAUUCCGUCCAAAGGCUUAGUCCUUUUUACUGAAGGUCCAGUUUACAUGCUUAAUGGACUGAGCUUCUUGUACAUGUAGCUGCAGUAAACAUGUGUGACUCCUUUGCAUACGCAUACCUCAUUCACAUAAAAAAGCAGUUUUGUCACUCACACAUGAAAACAAAGAUCACCACAGCCAAUCACAAACGAACAACCACACCCUAGGUCAACCCCAACCUCUCUCACCACCAAAGGAACACAAGCGAAUAGCAGAGAACCUGCACAAGCGACGCUGACACAAAAUCCCACACAUACAUUAAGUAAAAUAGAAAUAUCGCCACCCGGCCCCAACCCCACUCACCCUGGCCCCCUCCGCCUCUUUCCCCCUUUUCUUCCUAAUAUAACACUAAUGUCUCAACAAAUGAAACUGAUCUGUAAAAAUGUUACUUGGAAAAGAAAAAAGAGAGAGACUCCUCAUAUAUUUUUAAACCAAAUUUUUUUUAAAAAAAUAAAAAUACAUUUAAAAAAGCAGUUUUGUAAAGUGCUCUGACAGUUCGUUUGUUUUUACAGUCAAGCAAUAUAUACCGUAUUUUUUGCUCUAUAAGACGCACCAGACCACAAGACGCACCUAGUUUUUGGAGGAGGAAAACAAGAAAAAAAAAUGCUGAAUCUCAGAAGCCAGAACAGCAAGAGGGAUCGCUGUACAGUGAACGCAGCGAUCCCUCUUGCUGUUCUGGCUUCUGGGAUAGCUGCGCAGCCUGCAUUCGCCCCAUAAGACGCACACACAUUUCCCCUUACUUUUUAGGAGGGAAAAAGUGAGUCUUAUAGAGCAAAAAAUACGGUAAGUUUAUUGAAAUAAAUAAAGUAAAAUGUAACACAGUCGGUUUGCACAUAUAUGCACACAGUCACCCCUCUUCUUUGUGUAGAAGGGCUUUGCUAAUGACGGUCGUAUGUGGCCCACAUAUAGGAACUAGUGCAUAUCUCCCCAACUUUCCAUAAAAACAAAAUCAGUGAGUGCAUCAACCGCAGGUUGUUGGGCUUCCCACACUUUAAAUAAAACCCAGGGAAAGAGAUGGUGAAGCUACUCCUCCCAUGAGACUUUAUCCAAACGGGAAGUGUGGCAAGCUCUGGAGGCUUCAGGACUCUAGAAGAGUGUUUAACCGUAAGAUGAAAAACAGAACGUCCUCGGCCACCUUGCAAUGAUAAGGAAAACUCAACUCCACACCCACCGAAAUUAUAAAGAAAUUCUAAAUCACUGUAGGAACGAGGCAGGAAAAAAAGAAACCUCUUUCACAAGCAAGAAAAACCUUUGAGAGGGUGGGGGGACGAGUUUUGGUACAGCACUGGUGUUAACUGGCCCAAGGGUAGUGUUUCAAGAGACAGCUCUGUAGCACAUCAGUAAAUGGCUUUGUCUUUUGUAAGUUUGUGUUGAUUCAGUGAAUUCGGUAAGUGAGAGAUUCUGCCCUUGCUGAACUGUGCUCAGUUGUAGCAACCACUAGCACUGUUUGUUUAGAAAGCCCCGAUUAUCACAGUGAGAAAAGCUUGUUAAAACCACAACCUCUAAACAAAAGCUGCAUUAACUGAGUAUCCCAUGGGCAAAGCAGGGGCUAAUCUAAAGACCCGCUGAUAAAAAUGGAGCAGUGUUAAUUAAAAGAAUAUGGUAAUAACUGUAAGUGGGUUUUAAAGGGACACUCUUCAGAUUAUUUCUGUGGUGAACAGUAAAGAUAAUUAGCAUGCUUUAUUAGCUUCAUAGACAUGUGCAACCAGUACACACAUUUCCCUUGCAAGGAAGUGCUAUACAUGUAGAAAAAUCAAUAAGCAGCGGACCAAACUAGUUAUUUGUCCAGAAGGUAUCACUAGUGUGGCAUAUCUUGACCACCUUUUCUGUCCUUGCCAUAUGGACAACAACAACAAUUUUUUUAUACCCCACCCAUCUGGCUGGGUUUCCCAUACAGAACCCUUGUGUGAGGCAGGAGAUUCUGGGAAGCAUCCUAGGAUGGGAUGCUGAUCAAUUUAGUUGGACCUCACAGUCACCUCAGGCUCACAAAUGUGACUAAAAUGCACCCAACACUUAGGUAGGCUACACCUUGCAGGAGAAGCUUGAUAAUGGCAGACAAGCUGUCAUUUGCACAAGCUUCUUUAGCACUACUGAUCUUGUCAUUGAGGAACCUUUCAUAGGGUUCUGAGGAAGCACAGGGUUCUCAAAACCCAAUUUAAAAAUAAUUAGCCUGGGUGAGUAUGGAGCCAUAAGAGCAGGCAUGGCCAAACUUGGCCCUCCAGAUGUUUUGGGACUGCAAUUCCCAUCAUUCCUGACCACUAGUCCUGUUAGCUGGGGAUGAUGGGAGUUGUAGUCCCAAAACAUCUGGAGUUUGGCCAUGCCUGCUGAAAUAUCCAUGGAAUCGAGAGUGGAUUUCAUGCUCUUUAUUCAGCUCAUAGUGGUGAGGAGGAAUGGAAGUUCCCCCAGAAUGUCUGCUUUAUAUACAUUAUUUACACAAUGGGCCCCACAUGAUUGGCUAAUUCUGGGAUUCACCUGUAGGCCAAUCAGGUUGCGGAUUCACUUCCACCUGGAGCUGGAUUGGGUGGCUUCUGUGGACCAAUCAGACUGCUGCAUUCUGAAUCCUAUUGUUCUAGGACCAAUCAGACUGCUGCACUCUGAAUCCUAUUGUUCUAGGACCAAUCAGACUGCUGCAUUCUGAAUCCUAUUGUUCUAGGACCAAUCAGACUGCUGCAUUCUGAAUCCUAUUGUUCUAGGACCAAUCAGACUGCUGCCUUUUGGAUUCUAUUCAACUCACUACAUAACACCUGUAUAAGAGGCUCACAUUCCUCCAUUCUUCUGAAGUGGGAAGCCUCCUUUGCUUGUGAAAGCUCUACUGUGGCUCUGUUUAACUAGACUUUUAAAUUGUGGGGAGCAGAACCUCACAAGUACAUGAGUCUCCCUGCUUCUGGAGAAUGCGGCUCAGCAUGUGUGUGACUGUAAAUAGGGGGGCUGUGGUGUGCUGGAGAGAGUGAGGCUCGUCAGCAACCUCUGUGCUUGCAAUCGUGCAAGGGAAAUGAGCACUUGAAUAGGGCUAAGGUCAGAUCUCCAUCAAGAUCCCAGGUAAUCAGAGCCGGCCCACCCAUGAGGCGGGGUGAAGCAGCUGCCUCAGGUGGCGGAAACACAAGAGAUGGUGCCCCGUUCCUGCUCACUGGAAUGGCCCCCUUUCCCUAACAAGAGGGAAGCGUUACAGCAUGGGGCAUUGCUGCUCCUCUUCCCCACUUCUGGGUCAGAGAAGAGGCAUGGUGGGAGGGCAGGAGAAGGUGACCAAAUGGGACGGGCUGCCUCUGUAGCAAUUUUCAACCUUAUCGUUUUCAGCACUCUUUGCUCCUCUCCAGCACUCCACCCUGCUGUUGCAGCUUUUUGAUCCCUUCUAAAUGUGGUCAUAGUGUUGCUGGUGUGGAUUAUACAAGCUGAGGACCACGUGCAACAGAUCCCUUGAAAGGGCAAUAAACAGAUCUCUUGGGGAACACAAGAUUACAGAGCUUUGUAUACUAUAGUUAAGAGUUCGACUUCAUUUAUAGGGUUGGCUGAGGAGCAGGGCAUCUGAAAUUCAUGGGGCAGCAAUAUCCCCUCCACACUGCUUAGGUUGUGUUACACUGGCAUGCGUAUAAAUUUUCAGAGACAGAGUGGAUUUCGGUAGAUUUGUAUUACCAUGUUUUAAAUUAGAGGCUCUCUGGGAUUCAAAGAAGUCAACAAGUUUGCUCUGCAAGUCUGAAAAGCACAAUUUGUUUUUGCUCUCUAACUCAUUGCUUUUAAAAUGGGGAUGGGAAUUUAAUUUUGUAAUGAGUACGAUAACUUAAUUUACAUGCUUUUAAAAUUAUCUACCCAUAUUAGUUGCCCGUGCUCGCUGUCAGUUUCCUAAAAUAGGACAAGGACUUUUCUUCUUUACUUUGAGUCUUUGCAUUUGGGGUUGGGCACCAAUCAAGGAAUCCCAGAGUAGAGAUGUGUAGCAGAAACCUGCCAAUCAUCAAUUAAGAGAAUGGGGGGGGGGACGGGACGACUACAUAUGAAGAAAAGUGAAGGCUGGCUCCCUCAAUUUCUUCCAUUCACUGUUUUUCUGCUUUAUACAUAGAUCCAAAGAUUGGCUAAUUAUAGAUUAGAUUCCUCUUGGAGACCCCACCCCCACAUAGAAAGCCUAUUUGAGCUCUGAUAGUGAUAUAUUUCGCAUCUUGGAAUCCCAGAAGUAAAUGUUUGCUUUCAAGGUCAUAAAUAAGGAAUGGAAGCGUCCUCUGUUUCACACGUACAGGACACACACCACUUUGUUUCUCUACACUUGCUCAUUGCACAAGUGCCGGGUGAGAUCCCCCUGGCUCAAGUUAGAUUGGCUCAGGGGGGCAAAAGUGGAGCUACAUUCCUGGGAAUCAUUCCAAGUCAAUCUGAAUUUGGAUUGAACUCAUCCCCGCGGAUCCACUAGCUUCCUUUCCCUGCCAGGGCUGUAGCUCAGUAGAAGAACAUCUGUUCUGCAUGCAGUAGAUCUAGUCGAUUCAGUCCCUGGGAUGUCCACGUGGGGCUGGGACAAACCCCUGGUUGAAACCCCAAGGCGUCUGUGAAGACUAAGCUAGAUGGAUGGACCAAUGGUCUGGUUCAGUAUAAGACACUUUCCUAUACUCCUAAGCUCCCUUCCUCAUACCCACCAAUUCUCCAUGCCUCCUUCCCUUGCUCUGCACUUUCCUGAAUCUUUGUUGGAGAAGAAUUGUGUGUGUGUGUGUGUGUGUGUGUGUGUGAGAGAGAGAGAGAGAGAGAGAGAGAGAGAGAGAGAGAGAAUGCUUUCCUAAUAGUUGAGAUACGCAUUAUGUGUGCUGCAUAAAGGUAAAGGGACCCCUGACCAUUAGGUCCAGUCGCGGAUGACUCUGGGGUUGCGGCACUCAUCUCGCUUUAUUGGCCGAGGGAGCCGGCAUACAGCUUCCGGGUCAUGUGGCCAGCAUGACUAAGCCGCUUCUGGCGAACCAGAGCAGUGCACGGAAAUGCUGUUUACCUUCCCGCUGGAGCGGCACCUAUUUAUCUCCUUGCACUGGUGUGCUUUCAAACUGCUAGGUGGGCAGGAGCAGGGACCGAGCAAUGAGAGCUCACCCCAUUGCGGGGAUUUGAACCGCCGACCUUCUGAUCGGCAAGCCCUGGGCUCUGCGGUUUAACCCACAGUGCCACCCACAUCCCAUAUGUGUGCUGCAUAUAUACUGCCUAUUUCCCCAUUUUAUCCUCACAACAACGCUGUGAGGGAGGUUGGGGUGCAAGAUAGCAAUUGCUCCAAAGUCAUCUGGCAAGCUUCAUAAAUGAGUGUAGAUUUGAAACUGAGUCUUCUCAGCCCUUGGUCUCACUCUUGAGUGACUGUGCCACGCUGACUCUCACACAGUUGCAGCAUGACUCGGUUGUGCAUCAACACCCAGCUGAUAUUCAUCUAUCCUACAGAUUUGUGAAGAAGAGUUUGGAUUUGAUAUCCCGCUUUAUCACUACCCUAAGGAGUCUCAAGGCAGCUGACAAUCUCCUUUCCCUUUCCUCCCCCACAACAAACACUCUGUGAGGUGAGUGAGGCUGAGAGACUUCAGAGAAGUGUGACUGGCCCAAGGUCACCCAGCAGCUGCAUGUGGAGGAGCGGGGAAGCAAACCCGGUCCCCCAGAUUACGAGUCCACUGCUCUUAACCACUACACCACGCCGGCACUCUAAACCACUGUUUGUGGAGAUGCUGGAAUUUCGCCUGGUCCUGGUCUAAAAACUGGGAGAAGUCAAACUGAGGAAUGCUAUUUGACCAUGUUUCAAUUGAGUGAGCAUAUUAGUAUUGAAAAUUGGUGGCUUUUCUUCCUGAACUGAUUUGGAGCAUCCUUCAGGGGAUCCUUCUGUGCAAGCCUCAGUGAGGGGCACAUUACCCAUGACGCCAAUCAUAUGCUUUGUCAGUCCCCCUCCCUGCUCCCCCGUUGUGGUCCCGAUUCAGAUCUGAGCUCCCAGCACCUACUAUUUGCAUGGAGAAAAUCUCCCAUUAGAUUCAAUUGGGCCUUUCUCCAGAUGCAAAUAGUGGGUACCAGGAGCCCAGUGCAGGAUGGGACCACAGCAGGAGUCAAUGGGUUCAUCCUUCCAUCUCCUACUCCAGGGUCCAAUCUGGAUCAGGGCCUCAGCUCUGGCUAUUUGCGAAAGAAAAAUCUUGCACUUGGGGGCGAACCACGUUAUCAACGCCACAAGUAGUUUGGCUUUGAGAUGAAUCUGGGGUGCAGGAGUGUGCGGCGAUUUCAGUGGCACUUCCCAAAGAACCUCAUGAUGGAUUGCGCCUCUGAAUAUCUGAAUAUCGUGUUGUUAGAAUAAAUCCUGAAAACACCACCCUAAUGUAUAAAUAAUGCAUUGAAUGCUAGUUUUAUAUUGUACACUCCUCUUUUUGUGGUGAUGGAUUUACUAUAUAACAAGCCAGUCGUAUGGACAGAAUCAAUGGAAAGGCAAUUUUAAACAAUAUACAAGUGCAAUCGUGCCAAGCCACGAUACAGCAAGAGGGCAGAUUAUUAACAUAUGUCAGUAUGUGAAAAUGCAGCUCGUCUUGUUGUGGUUGUGACCAGUGCUCUGUAGGUCUUCCCUGUGGUAUGAUCCCUGCCGUUGCCAGGAGUAUGAGGGACAGCGUGCUGUUUGCCAACCCUCUGGAUGAAGUAGCCAAAAAUCUGCGUCCCGAGAUAUGUAAGGAAGUGUCCUUUUUCACUCCUGCAAGUACUCCCAGAAUUAAAACAUGAGAGUGGAUUUUACAUGUUUGCCCAGGAGUCAGAUACAAAUACGCCAAGCCACCCCCAGAUUCUUACUGCGUCCGAAGACCAAUAUGUUGGAUACUUGACAUGGAUUACAGUCAAACCUUAUUCUGCGUCCGCCUCCGCUUGCAUCCGCUUCGGCAAAUGUCCGUGGCAAACCUGGAAAUACCGGAGCAGGUUACUUCCGGGUUCACCGCUUGCACAUGCACAAAACGCUAAAUCGUGCUAUGCGCAGAUGCACACUUUUUGGGUGGCAGCAGGGCCUCCGGAACGGAUCCCCACCGUAACCCAAGGUUCCACUGUAUAUGGCUUUUUACAGCCCAUGUCUCAGGGGACUUGGACAGGGCCAUCUUAGGAAUAUCUGGCGCCGUGGUGCAAAGAUCCCUCCAGCGCUCCCCUUUCCCAGAGUUGCCCCUUUCCCAGAGGAGUUGACCUUUUUUAGAGAGAACGACGCUGCCAACAACACACCCAGCUUUGUGGGGCUGGAGGAGGUGGGCAGCGGCUGGAGGGCAUCUCCUCUGGCGGGGAAGAGGCGGAGGCUGGACGCGGCAGCUCCUGGCUCAGCUGGCCGCUUUGUGCUAUGGUGGCCGUGGCAGGUGGAGGCUCUGGGCAUGGCGUUGCUUCGGCGCAGCAUGGCGCAGGCAGGCAGGGGUGGCGAACUGAUGCCGGGAGGCACCAUGUCCAGCCUCCGCCUCUUCCCUGGCGCCCUUCAGAACUUGGCGCCCUGUGCCACUAGCCUCUAUGGGUAAGACGCCCCUGGGCUUGGGGUCAGUUGGCCCUAGAUCUUUGAACAUUGGGAUUUGACAUUUGAGUUUAAAGGUUUUGAGUAGAGGAGCAGGGGCGUCAUGUCCUGUUUCACCGCUUGAGGCAAAACAGGGAUGUGCCGCUCCACUCCCACCACUGCCACCGAAGCCUGCCCGACCUACGUUGUGCAGCGGCGCAUGCAAAGCACCGACAGCAGCACCAUCUUAUGGUGAGAUCUUGCCAGAAUCUUGUGAGAUCUUGCAAGGUUUCAGCGAGAUCUCGUCAGAAACCAGUGCCACUUCUGUAGUCGCUUCACCUCGCCUCAUGGGUGGUCUAGCCCAGUGUUAUGUACUGAGCUGAAUCCUAGAACAAUAGGAUCCAGAAUGCAGCAGUCUGAUUGGUCCGCAGGACCCACCCAAUCCAACUCCAGGUGGAAGUGAAUCAGCGACCUGAUUGGCCUGCAGGAGCAGCCAAUCAGGCUUCUGGAGGAAGUGAAUCUGCAACCUGAUUGGCCUACAGGAGCAGCCCGGAAUUAGCCAAUCAUGCGGGGCCCAUUGUGUAAAUAAUGUAUAUAUAGCUAGACGUUUGGGGAAAAGUUUCAUUCAUUGCUACUACGAGCUGAAUAAAGAGCAUGAAAUUCACACUCGACUCCGAGUAUAUUUCAACCUGAGAUCAAGGUAGCCAACUGUUGGCCUUCAAGGUACCCUUGAACCUUACUCUGCUUUUGCUUCUGUGAGGGGUGCUUCUUAAUGGCCAGGCACCCCUUUCAUUUCCUAAUGAGAAAAGCAUCCAUCCAAUGAAAAGAGACCCUGCGCCUCAUACAGCAAUACCCAGUGAAAGUUGCUUAAGUUGGUGAGUCACAUGACCCUUCCCCACCUUGUAGGGUAGUCUUCUGCUGGGAAAUGAUGCAAAGUAUCAGAGACUUCUGCAAUGACACAAAGGUCUAUAGCCAACCUCUUAUUUCAGCAAGAGACUGAUAUCUUUCAGGUUACAAAUAGUGUGCCCCCUGUCUCAUGUACAGUGGCCCCCGCUCCAGGGGGCUGAGGCUCUUUGGGCCCCCUCAUCUCUCUGUUUUUUUGAGGGGGCUGGGCAUUUGUUGAGAGCAUACGUGGAGCCAGGUGCAGAGCGACAUCAGGACGUCGCGUGAUGUCAGGGUGUCACAUUCGGUCCCCUCCAUGUUCUUCGGAAGAUGGUACCUCUGCUCAUGUACUCCGUAUCCUAACCAAGUCAAAUUCCAAAAUCCACAUUGGAACAACAUGGCUUCCUUUGCGUUCAGUGAGGCUUAACUGACACAGUGCUAACGUCUGGCUUAGAAGCAGCAUGUGAGAGAGCCAGAACAGAAUCUUCAAAACAAGCAAAUAUUAGCAGCAUAGCUUCAUGUUUCGCUAAACCCUAAAUUUCACCAGGGAAUAUUUUUUCCUGGCACCACUAUCCCCCAUGAGGUCUUCAGCUCUGACGUUUUGAACUCGGAAUUUGUGCAUUUCCUUCUCUGUCUGGUUUGCUUUCGGUAUUUUUCUGUAAAAAUACCAAAACCAAAACAGAUUUCUACCUGGUUUUAUUAUUUCUGCGUCCAGCUUCUUAUUUGAUUUCUUCAUUUUUGGUCACGAAAGGGGAAUUCCACAUUACGGUUUGCACCGCAGAGAGGACGAAUAUUGCUUGCAGUCAGUCUGUGAAUGUGCCGGCGGGGGAAGGGGAGGCAAGGCACGGGACACAAUAAAUUUAAUUUUGCCUGCCUGAAAGGGCCAUUCUCCACCAAUGAGAUUAAAAUAUCACUGGCACUAGAAGUCAGUCCCAAGUAUAUUUCUUUUCUGUCAGCAAAACAUUCCCCUCUUGCCCUCUCUUAUCUAAUGGCUUCUCUUCAUCCUUGCUCCUCGCCUCAUUACCGCUGGAAGACUUGUUGGUUUGGUCAGACUCUUGUCUCUCAGGCCAGGAGCCCUUAGCAAGAGCAGCUCAGAAAGUCUAUCAGUGGCAAGUGGAGCUGCCCUUUGCUCAGAACAGCGUUCAGUUGCUUCAAGAGAUUGCCCUGCUAAUUAGAUGUAUUUUGUUGUUGUUGUAUAGUCGUUUAGUUGUGUCCGACUCUUCGUGACCCCAUGGAUCAGAGCACGCCAGGCACUCCUGUCUUCCACUGCCUCCCGCAGUUUGGUCAAACUCAUGUUGGUAGCUUCGAGAACACUGUCCAACCAUCUCGUCCUCUGUCGUCCCCUUCUCCUUGUGCCCUCCAUCUUUCCUAACAUCAGGGUCUUUUCCAGGGACUCUUCUCUUCUCAUGAGGUGGCCAAAGUCUUGGAGCCUCAGCUUCAGGAUCUGUCCUUCCAGUGAGCACUCAGGGCUGAUUUCCUUCAGAAUGGAGAGGUUUGAUCUUCUUGCAGUCCAUGGAACUCUCAAGAGUCUCCUCCAGCACCAUAAUUAGAAGCAUUAUCAAGUUGCAAAACUUGGUCAGUGCACAAGCAAUCUCUGUUAAAUGUCUUGGGCAGUACCAGACCCGGCUGCCUUGUCCGGAUCUUUCUGGGCCGGUUUUCUGAAGCCCUGUUGCUUGAUUUUCAGUCUAGAACUGUUGUGUCAAAGGCUGCGUACGUUCCAUACUUGUAAAGCGCCCUUCCAAAGAAUCCUGGGAACUGUAGUUUGGUAAGGGUGCCAGAAAUUGUAGGUCUCUGAGAGGUGAACUACUGCUCCCAGGAUUCAGGGUUUUUUUAAAAAAAAUGUAUGCUAUGUAUGUAGAUAAUCUCAAAAUUCUUGGGUUUUAUUCAGAUCUCUCAUAAGUGGAUAUCAGAGUUACAUGGGUCAGAGUUACAGAAUCUUUUGGGCUUUUUUCAGAACUCUCAUAAGUGGGGUUUAAUAACAACAACAACAACAAUAAUAAUAAUAAUAAUUUAUUAUUUCUACCCCGCCCAUCUGGUUGAGUUUCCCCAGCCACUCUAGGCAGCUUCCAAUCAAGUGUUAAGAACAAUACAGCAUUAAAUAUUUAAAACUUCCCUAAACAGGGCUGCCUUCAGAUGUCUUUUAAAGAUAAGAUAGCUGCUUAUUUCCUACACAUCUGGUGGGAGGGCAUUCCACAGGGCGGGCGCCACUACCGAGAAGGUUCCCUGUAACCUCACUUCUCACAAUGAGGGAACCGCCAGAAGGCCCUCGGCGCUGGAUCCGGUGUCCAGGCUGAACUAUUUAGGAAGAGGGAAGAGGCAAAUGCCAAUGUUGAUUGCCUCCUCCUUCAUAUCUGGAGAAUCAAAAUGGCUAAUGUAUUACAGCCCAGCAGCAUCUCAUAGUGGCCUCCUCCUGAAGACUAUUUAUUGAAGUCUUGUGACUUGGAGGUCAGCAGCAAGCAGAGCGUCCUGGGAGCCUUUAGUGUUCUGCCACUGGUUUCCUAACACCACUGCAUCUUUUCAUGUCAGAUUUGUGUCCAUUUUCCCCUCCUGCGUGGAGAGCCUGAGCUAUCUGUCCUACAUAAACAGCAGAAGCACGUUGUUGGCAGGUGAUGGCAGAUGUCAUGCCGGAGGAUGUGCUUCUGAUGGCGCGGCUGAUGUGAUUUGGUUCUGAAAUCAUAGUGGCGGAAUCAGUCUGGAGAUAAGAGUUGACACCAGGGUUUGUUGCAAGGCCAUUCCCAAGGGAUUGGGCCUCCUUUUGGUGACCCGUUCCUGCUGGCGAGUUGUAGCAGCCUUGAUCUAUUUCCUUAUAUUUAAAAGAUGUAUAUAUGCUGCUCCUCACCAAAGCUUCUGGGAACGAUUCACAAAAGCAAGAUUAAAACACAAUGGAAUAUGGGUAGCAGCAGGUUUAAAAAAAUAAAAUAAAAACACAUUUGUCCAAUGGGAAAAGGUUAACAGGGUUGGUCCCAGGUGGGUCUCUUUUUGAUGGUGCAGCAGUGACUCCCUGCUGCCUGUGUAGAUUGGUGCAUAACCCAAGCCCUUUCUCACAUAUGUGGAAACUGCAGAUGGCAAGGCUAUCCUGUGUAGCACCGUGUGACACACACACAAACAGAGAGAGAGAGAGAGAGAGAGAGAGCACAUUCACUAAACAUGGGUGAGGGGUCAACAACAGGAGCUCCCUUAAGGUUGUUCUGAGAUCAUAUAUGUGGCAUGGUAUGAACAUCACAAAAGUGCUGUAUAAAUGCUAACUACUACAAUCCAUUCUGCUUUAUAUCUUUUCCUUUGGCCCAAGGACCACUCGCUCACCAUUUGGUUAAAGGUCAGUUUUGCAUCCCUGUUUCCUGUUCAACUGGGUCUGCAAUGUUUUGCCACUCAGCACAGACGGGGUUUUCCUUAUCAAAUGGCAGGAUUCUUGCAGCCUUUUUCCUGCCUGGCAGUUGCAGACAUGAGUGCUGAGUUACAGAUAUAACUAGUCUGAAAUUUCUCCUUUGGAAAGACACCCCAUAGCUACCUUGUCUGGCUCCACUUAUAAGCCGUGUGUGUGUGUGUGUGUGUGUGUGUGUGUGUGUGUGUGUGUGUAUUCACUCUUUCUCUCAGCUCCAGGUCUCCAGAUUUCUGGGGGACUCUGAAAGGGAAGCCAUUUGUUCUCUUUUCCUAUUUCUUUCUUGCCCUUAUCCGAAAACAGCCACCCUAUCUGUAAGCGACAACUGUGGAAAAUGUGCCCUGGCCACUUGGCGCGAAAGAUAGGCGAGACUCCGAAAAAAUCUUCUCCACAGCUUAUCACCUUUUUGCUGGCUCCACAACAGGCCAGCGUCCCAGCUUAGGAGGAAACUGACUGUCUGUAAUCCUGAGCAGGGCCUCAUCAACCACUGAUAAGCUUCCCUGUGAACUUGCAGGCACUUCUGGGUUUAUUAUCCUUUCAAAUACUAUAGAAGCUAUUGCAUGACAGAUUAGAUAUAUACACACAUGCAUACACGAGGUGAGUGCAUUUAUUAAUAUGGUUUUCAAAUGUGAUGGGUGUAAAGGUAAAGGGUAAAGGGACCCCUGAUCAUUAGGUCCAGUCGUGAACGACUCUGGGGUUGCGGGGCUCAUCUCGCUUUAUUGGCCGAGGGAGCCGGUGUACAGCUUCUGGGUCAUGUGGCCAGCAUGACUAAGCCGCUUCUGGUGAACCAGAGCAGCACACAGAAAUGCCGUUUACCUUCCCGCCAGAGCGGUACCUAUUUAUCUACUUGCACUUUCGAAUUGCUAGGUUGGCAGGAGCAGGGACCGAGCAAUGGGAGCUCACCCCGUCAUGGGGAUUCGAACCGCUGACCUUCUGAUCGGCAAGCCCUAGGCUCAGUGGUUUCACCCACAGUGCCACCCACAUCCCAGGUGUAAGUUGCUGCAAUUCUGCUUCACCCAUUCCUCACUGACAGGACCUAGUUCACAUGGUUCCCUGUCUCUGCAUGCCAUCCCACUCUGGUAACAUAUGAAAUGAGGAAAUUGCAUGGAAGGAGUAGAAGACACGAGAAGUAUUGGGUAAUUUUCAUCGUUUGACAUUUCAUUGUGUUUUUAUAUGUGCCGGAAGCCGCCCAGAGCGGCUGGGGAAACCUAGCCAGAUGGGCAGGAUAUAAAUAAUAAAAUUACUAAGUUAAUAUAUUGCCACAUCUGAGGCUUGUGCCUGAAUAGGAUGGGAGGAGAGACGUAACUGUGUUAAUACAUAUCCUAGUGUUUGGUGUAAUACAGCUUAGCUGCUAUUGAUCGCUGAAUUACUAGCCAACUUUCCCUGCCCAAAUUCAGGACUAAAUACAAUGAUGUGAGGAGUGGUCAGGCGGACAUGUCAGUGAUCUGGUGGCUGGCUGGGGACCACUGCAGGCCUUCCAGAGGAUUGGCCAAUGGCAGGCAGGCCUGGGUCCAGAGAUUCCCCAGGGGGCGGGCCCAACCAGCCAAUGGGCAUUGCUUGGGUCUGCCCCCUGGGGGAAUAAAUUGAGGCUGGCCCAGCACUCCUCAGCGUAAGCCUAAGUCUUGACUGGAGGGGAGGUUGUAGCCUCUGCCAGCCCCUCCUUGGUUAAAGUACCCUGUUAAAUGCAUCCGUGAGGAGUUGCUUCUGUCCAGCACCCAGAUGGGGACUAGGGUCAUAGCACUCCUCCAGUAGGGAGCCCUAUUUGAUGUAGGUCAUAGGACACCCCACCACCACCAUGGUGUGGUUUACCCUUAGAUACACGUCCAUCAGACUGGCUGGAGUUAAUUAAAUUGCUUGUUCCAAACAUUUUCCAUUUGUAAGCAAGUUGUGGCCUGUUUGAAUCCCAAAUCUAUAUGCUGCUUUCUUAUCAAGUUAUUUCACUACAUAGGGAGUGACUGGGUCACAUGGCCUUGACACACAGCUUCUUAGGUGUGCUGGGCCCAGGGGUAACCUGUGAAACAUGGUCCAGGACUGGUCCAGAAUCCGAAGGUUCCUCUAGCAGUCAGUCCGACAGGGCCAAGGCAGGACACGAGGCAGGAAACCAGGCAAGGACAGUACAGGAUCUCAGGAGGGAUCUAGCAUACAGCAAUGUUGCUCCCGCAACCUGGGGCAGGGUCCAACAGCCUUUUAUCUUUGUCCGGGUAGCGGCCGGUCCUGAUCCCCCGGUGAUUCACCUCCCUAGGCGAGCACUCCUCCUUUGAGUACUCAGGUCUCUCCUUCUCUCAGACCUGAGUCUUUGCAGCUCGGGAGAUGUCAGUGGGUUACUAGACCCAGAGGCCGCCUCAGCCUCUCCUGACCCAACUGGUAGUGGAGCAGCUGUAAGUGAUGGCCCUGCUGAAGGCAAUGAGGUAAUCCCCGCAUCUGGAGCCAGGGCAGGCUCAGGUCCCUGACUUGGCCCAGCUGGUGUUUGUUGCAGGGGAACCUGUGCAGACUGGGACUCUUCAGGAUCAGGCCCCAGACUUGGUUCAGAUGAUGCCUGAGGCAAAGGAUCCGGUGCAGACUGAGUCUCCUCUGGUUCUGAGUCUGAGCCUGAGUCCCGGGCAAUCACAUUAGGUAAGCAAUGUAGGAAUGCCCAUCAGUUUAGCCCACAAAGCAUGGCAUGCCACAGGGAAGGUGAGACUUGUUCCCCUGGGGUAAUUGAUUGAUGUUUACCAGACUGCCUUGGGACAGUCACUGUCACUCAGCCAAACCUACACCACAGGAUUGUUUGGGCAAUAAUGGGAAGAGCUCGUGAGCCCCUUGGAGAAGGGCAAAAUAAAAAUGGCAUAAAGAAAUAAAACCUGGAGCCAUUUAAUUUUGUAUAGCAAUAGCCACUUGGUGUACAAAACUAGAGCGUGAGUACAAACUGAUGGGCAAUGAAUCUUGCCCUUUGUAUGACGCUGUGCCAAAACCAACACUGACCACUGUUUCUGUGUUUAAUGAGGAGCAAGUCGCAAUCCAGUGGCUGUAAAACACUGCAAAGGAUCAUCAUAACUGACAGCUGCUAUCUACUGAAAGCUGAGACUCUGAAUGGAGUUGGUGGAGCCCGUGUAGGGGAGCAUGAUGAGUCUUGGGUUGAUAAAGAGAGAGUCUAAUAUCCUCCUCUGUUGCCUGAAACAUGAUUAGCAUGCUAUUAAGGGCCUGAACACAAUGACAACUCACUUAUUCAAGACCAAAUGCACCAGAUGUUAGGCCAUUAGUGUGCGCGCGCACACACAGACUGAAGAAAGGAGAAAGUAGAAUCUUAUAUGUAUACUUGAGAUUAUUUUAGAAUUAUUGCCUAGGUUUCCUGUCCUAAGAGAAAUAGAACCAUAAAUUCAAAGGUGCAUGAUCAGAUCAGUCUUUCUACAGAGAAAGAAAGUGCUUAGUUCCUUGCUGCAUGAUUGUGUGUGCCACAAUAAGUGUGCAACGCUCAUGCUGAGCACCCGGCGGCAGCCAUCUUGGAAGCAGUGUGCAAAUCAGAAUCUAUCCUACAUUUCCUGCAAGGCCAGCAAUCGAUGUGAAAGGAGAGCACACCCUAGAAUCCUCUCGGGGCUAAACUGGAUAUGUGUUGAAAUCCAGAGUGAGUAGCUACAUAUAUUGUAGAGGGAGUCCAGUUCUCACUGUGAAGUCAGUGGGCAGCAAGUGAAGGUGUAUCUCUUUUGAAUGGAGAUAGUACAUACAAACAAAUUACAUAACUAUGACUAAGGUUCCCCCAAGUCUCUUAGCCCAGAAUGAGGGGCGAUAUCCAUUCUGAUCUCAGUAAGGGACUGAAAAGAAAAGUUGCUUUUACGGUGGAAUUUCUUCUCUCUCUGUCUUUCUAUUUUCUGCCACACUCCUUUUUCUCUUUCACUGUGAAAAUAAAUGGUAAACAAGCAGUUUGCACUAAGUGAAGAUGCUUAAUACAACAGUGUAGUUGGAGAUGGGAGGGUGGGUUUUGGGACAAUAUGAAUCAUUUGUAAUUGACACCUACUGUUUUUUUAAAAAGACCCAGUUCUGAAAUAAACAAUAAAAAUGAUGUAUUUUUGUCAGAUUAGGCAUUUGUGUGGAAACUGUCACGUUUGGGCACCUCUGAAACACCCGGAAGCAUUUGUGAUCCUUUACUGACAGGGGUAACAAAAGCUGCUGAUUGUGGGAAGAGUGUGUCCCUAUUUGCACAUCAACACCUAUUUCACAAAGAGGGCUGAUGGAUGAGAAGGUGGUAGGAGAAUGUGGCUAUGGAUUCAGUAGCACUGAAAAGUCUCUUUCUUCCAACAAUGUGUGACUUUGCCAACAGGAGGUGAAUGGAGAGCAUUUGUAAAAAGCUCCAGGUUCAGAAAACAGGCCGGAUUAGAGGAGAUCCGAAUGCAAAGCCCCCUUCAAGUCAACCCAUUUCCAAAAAUGAAAUAUGUGUGGCAAUGUUCUGCCAUACCAUUUUAAAAAAAAAAUUAUAGAAAUGAGUAUGCCAUAAAAAGUCUUUUAUUAUUUAUAAUUUUACCUGUCACUUUAUGCCAUACACAAAUGGUAGGAAAUACCAUAAAUUGCAGUCUGCUAAGAUUAAAUUAGGGACGCAGGUGGCACUGUGGGUUAAACCACAGAGCCUAGGACUUGCCGAUCAGAAGGUCGGCGGUUCGAAUCCCCACGAUGGGGUGAUCUCCCAUUGCUCAGUCCCAGCUCCUGCCAACCUAGCAGUUCGAAAGCACGUCAAAGUGCAAGUAGAUAAACAGGGUACCGCUCCGGCAGGAAGGUAAACGGCGUUUCCGUGCACUGCUCUGGUUCGCCAGAAGCGGCUUAGUCAUGCUGGCCACAUGACCCGGAAACUGUCUGCGGACAAACGCUGGCUCCCUCGGCCAAUAAAGCGAGAUGAGCGCCGCAACCCCAGAGUCGGUCACGUCUGGACCUAAUGGUCAAGGGUCCCUUUACCUUUACCUUUACCUUUAAGAUUAAAUUAAUAUCUAACAGCAAUACGUUCAGAGGCUUACUGUUUACACUUUAUGGCUAUGGAUUUGAAUGCAAGGAUAUUUGACUCGAAAUGUGAUAGGUGCAAUCUAUGGCUGUAUGAAGGACACACACGCACAAAAUAAACUAGAACUGCUAUUUUGGACACCUGUAGUUCAGACUAUGUAGAGUCUCCAUUAGAUUUCUCUGAUUUGCUGCACAUCUCUAAUUCCGUUUUCCUAAGGGAGUCCCAUUAAAAAGUUGGACCAUGUUCCAGAUGGCCUGACCAAGGCCAUGAUCCAGCGGUGCUUCCCCAUUACCAGCUAUGGGAAGAGAAAGAGUCUUUGAUAGACCAUAUGAAUUUUUUCCUCCCAUAGCUGGCGAUGGGAGCCAUAUGAGAACUUCACAUUGUGUGUUUUGAUGUGCAAAAAAAGGGUGCAUGAUCAAAUCAUACAUUUCCCUUCCCAUAAAGCAUGUUUGCUUCAUCAGUUCCAUUAAUGGAGCCUAAGAGCUCCUUUGUGCCUGUUAUUAUGUAUUUGUAGUUUAAGUAAAUGAAGAUACUUUAAGGAGGUCUGUUCUGAAGAACCAACCUAUCAAGUAACAGUGAGGCUUAUGGGUACUGUUCCUUAUUCUCUCUGGUGCCUUCCUGCCUAUAUUUGCCUUGUACAUCCAUGGAUUAUAAGCUCUUCUUGGAAAGGUCACUUGUGUUGGGUGGCUCUCCUUCUCACUGCUCUGCUACAGAAAGUAGAGGGAGAAUGGCCCCAAAGCACUAUGGGUAAGAACAUGGAGGCAAGCGGAAAGGCUGAUUUAUGGUGCAACUGGUCUGGGAAAAUCGAGGAGCAGACGACUAGACUGUAUUUCAUUGGAAUUGACUAAAAUGGCGCCGGCCGCUUGAACAGGACUUUUGGACUUUUGGAUCAGCAUGAGGAAUUACGGGAGAGCAUUACAAAGUUCACACAGAAUUGUAAACAACAAUGCUGUUUUUUUCAACUCGCUUGUGGAAACAACUCGGAGGUUAUUAAGAAGAAAAACGAUAAUAACAAGGAGAUGGGAAGAUGGGACUUGUGAAUAUCAAAGCAGCAGAAAUAUGAGAUGAUUGGACCCCUACCGAACUCGAAACAUGGGUACCCCCCACAAAAAAAUUAAAAUUCGGUUAAAUAUUUGGACUAUGUGAUAUGUAUUGGCAUAAUUUGGAAUAAUUAAUAUGAUAUGAUUGGUUUGUUAAAUGGAAAUGUAAUAAAAAAUAUUUUUUAAAAAAAAGAAUGUGGAGGCAAGCUGUGACCUGGCGCAAACCAUUAAAGUGUUAAGGAUGCCAGACUAGGAUCCUGGGGGACCUUGAGUCAGCCACCAUCCCUCACAUGGUUGUGAGGAUAAAAUGGAGGUGUGGGGAGCCACCUAUAGUGCCUUGAGCUCGUUGGAGGAAAGGCAGGGCAUGUCGGUAGCAAAGAAACAAAUAAGCAAGGCGUGUGCAGGUUCCAGCAUAGAACCAGCAGCUCUGCAUACGUGUUGGCGGACACACAUCCAGUUUGCAGAAAUUCACUGUAUAACUCUCCUGCUCUGUGGGUUUGGGGAGAACCCAGAGCAAGAUUCUCUCUCAGUCAGAAGUACUGGGUUACUGAGCAGAGCUGCAGUGACUUUUAGCAGAUGCUUUUAAUUAAGAAGGCAUCCCUGCUCCAGUUCCUGGCAUCCCUGGUUCAAGAAAAGUCAUGAAGCAGGGCUGGAAAGGGGCUCUGUCUGGACACCUGGAAUGUUGUGAAAUAGCCAAUGUUCCCUCCCUCCAAGAUGUUCUUGGGCUCCGACUCUCAUCAACUUCAUCCUGCAUGGUGGAGAUUCAUGAAUCUGGGCCUAGUUUAGAAGCGUCUCUCGUGAACAGUAGGUGUUUUUUGUAAAGAGGCAUGGACAUCGCAACAACUGUUAGAUAAACUAAUCCAGAAUGCGGCAGCUAGACUGGUGACCGGGGGUGACCGCCGAGACCACAUAACACCGGUCCUGAAAGACCUACACUGGCUCCCAGUACGUUUCCGAGCACAAUUCAAAGUGUUGGUGCUGACCUUUAAAGCCCUAAACGGCCUCGGUCCAGUAUACCUGAAGGAGCGUCUCCACACCCAUCGUUCUGCCCGGACGCUGAGGUCCAGCACCAGUGGCCUUCUGGCGGUUCCCUCAUUACGAGAAGCAAAGCUACAGGGAACCCGGCAGAGGGCCUUCUUGGUAGUGGCGCCCACCCUGUGGAACGCCCUCCCAUCAGAUGUCAAAGAGAUAAACAACUACCUGACAUUCAGAAGACAUCUGAAGGCAGCCCUGUUCAGGGAAGUUUUUUAAUGUGUGACAUUUUAGUGUAUUUUGGGUCUUUGUUGGAAGCCGCCCAGAGUGGCUGGGGAAACCCAGCCAGAUGGGCGGGGUACAAAUAAAUUGUUGUUGUUGUUGUUGUUGUUGUUAACUAACUUUUCUUUUCUUUUUAAACUUUUGGUUCAACCCCACCCGCACCCCUUGGUGGAAUUUUAUGCAUUCCGAAAGCAACGCAUUUUGCUCUUCCAAACUAUUUUUAUGAGGCCCAUGGAUAAAUCCCCUCUGACAAGUAUGAGCUGGUGAUAUCCAGAUAGGGAAGGAGCUUAGUCAGAGGCAGAGAAAUCACCACGACCUUUGGGUUGGUAAGAGAACUUGCACAAAGGACUCUUGUGAGACAUCACCUCUUCUUCACCCCUCUGUGGAAAGGCAGGAGAGGUGGAUGACAGAGGCUUUACUCUUGCUGAUGAAAUAGCAGGGCUGUCGGAGAAGAAAUGUUGCUUCAGAGAACUUGGGCUUCUCCGAAACAUUCCACCCAAAACUCCCCUCUUGCUGCUCAAAGUUUGGCUGCGUGAGGCAGCACGUCUGUAAUCUGGGCUGGGGACGGACGGACACAAAGAGUUUGAAAGAAUUAUGAUUUUCCCUCUGUGAUCCAUUGGGAACGCUUUGUGUUAGAUGAUGGGAUACAUUCCAAUGGCUCGUAUUCAUCAGGGACAGCCCACAUUUUCCGAUACAUGUCUCUGGCACAUGACUGGCCCUGUUUUGUAUUUGGGGAGUACCUUGUAAAAAUUGCUGCUGGCGUGGAUUGUUACAGGUUGCCAUUCUUCAGGCAUCAGACCCCCCACCCCCGGUUCUCUGGAACUCAAAUGUACAACGGAAGUGGGGGAAAGACACAUUUUGUCUUUAGUCAUGCAUAUACCGUAUUUUUCGCUCUAUAGGACGCACUUUUUCCCCUCCAAAAAUGAAGGGGGAAAGUGUGUGCGUCGUAUGGAGUGAAUGCAGGCUUUCGCUGAAGCCUGGAGAGCGAGAGGGGUCGGUGCGCACCCGCCGGGCUCCCAAGGCUUGCGGAUAGCAGCCUGCUGUCCCCGAAGCCAAAACAGCGAGACGGCGCGCUGCGCAGCCCUCCGUCUCACUGUUCCAGCUUUGGGAUGGCUGCGCAAAGCCUCCGCAGGGCAACGGGGUGAAGGCACCCCGCCACCCUGCGGAGGCUACAAAAGAUGUCCCCGAAGCCUCAAGCCUUUGGAGUGCAGCUGCGCUCCAAAAGCUUCAGGGAUCUUUGAGGCUGGUGGUGGGGAAAAGCAGCGCUUACACCCACCGCCAGCCCCACAAGCUCGGGGAGCAGCGGCAAGGCCUGCUAUUGAACGCACCUUGAACGCACCUUGUUUUUGAGGGGGAGAACAAGAAUUUUUUCCCCCCCUAUUCUCCCUCUCCUAUGGUCCGGUGCGUCCAAUAGAGCGAAAAAUACGGUACAUGCAAGAACAUGGAUGCUAAGGGUCAAUGUUGACAUGAUGCUGGAGAUGGAUGGAGGCAGAUCGUGGUUUUUAUUUUAUUUUUUAUUUGCAAAAAGCAGUUGUGGGCAGUUGGAUUGGGACUCUUGCGUGUGUGGAGAGUUGAGCUGAUUCCUCCAUGCCAGUUUGUGGGGGCAAAUCUCACUGCCCCCUCCCCCAAGAGCUGGUGUUAUCCACAAAGGGGGAAAUGCAGUGCCUUUUUUCGGGGGGUGCAUACCCAUAAACAUUUUGUGAAUCUUUGAACUUUUGUCCAUUUACUGUAUUUAUUUUCCCUGAUUUGAACUAUAAAAUUGUGAUUUUCUUGAGUCAAAAUGAGAGUACCCCUAAAUAUAUUUUUAGGGGGGAAAGCACUGGGAAAAUGUAUAGGCACAAGUGAAGGGGUUGUAUACUCCUGCCCCGCCCCCCGGCUGAUGGCAACUCUGAUUUGGGAUUUGCACCAGUGCAGAAUUGGUGCAGGAGCAAAGGCAGGGCUGGCCCAAUAUAUUUUGCCUGAAGAGAAGGGCAAAAAUGCCCUAUGCCCUAUGCCCAAUGUUAUACAUGGAGGAGGGGGUCUAGUAGAAAUACGGCCUUAGUGGGAAUGAAUGACACUCUCAAUUUUGUUUUCUCCCAGUUUCUCAUUUUUCCAUUCUUAAGUUCCGCUCACCACAUUCCUGCAUCCAUUUGUGAAUCUGAAAUAUUUCUCAUGGAAGUUCGCCUUCAUUUUAGUGUGCACAUCUCCAAAUGCAACUUGUAAGCAAGUUUCCCCAACAUAAUGCAUUUGUGCACAUUAUUUUCACUAAGAUCUGCAUUUGCUCACUCUUUCCCCUAAUAAAUAUGCCCUUUGCAUACCUUUUUCUCAAUUGAAGAACAGGAUUGCUACAUUUCUGUUUACAUUUUUAUUUGAGGAACUGCAAAUUAGGUAGGUGAACCUUGCCCAAUCUCUCCCAUGUCCCUAGUCCUCAGUGGGCCCUUCUCUUCCAUCUUCACUUGCCUGGCAGUUUCUCCUCUAGGCAUAAUUCGCACUGUUGCCCAGGGUGAAAGAAGAGAUGGAUGGACAGACAGUGGAGAUGCCACUAAAUACUACUUUGGGUGCAUUCAGGUGAUAGUGCUUUCAUAAAAUAUACCUAAUCAAAACCUGUCUGCUGUCAUCUAUUGUUGUCAAGGCUGGGCUUGUCCUUAGUAUUUUGCUGCUGUUGGUGUACCGCUUGCACUUGAAUUUUCUGAUCAUCCUUCUGUUUUGUUGCUUUAUGAUAUUUUUGUAUAUAGAUACCCUGAAGGUCCCAUUAGGGAUGGAAGAUGUGGGAUCUAUCUUUUUUUAUAAAUAACUGGGCACACAUUUGCUACAAUGACAUGUAAAGGUAACGGUAAAGGGACCCCUGACCAUUAGGUCCAGUCGUGGCUGACUCUGGGGUUGAGGCGCUCAUCUCGCUUUAUUGGCCGAGGGAACCGGCGUACAGCUUCCGGGUCAUGUGGCCAGCAUGACUAAGCCGCUUCUGGCGAACCAGAGCAGUGCACAGAAACGCCGUUUACCUUCCCACCAGAGUGGUACCUAUUUAUCUACUUGCACUUUGACGUGCUUUCAAACUGCUAGGUUGGCAGGAGCAGGGACCGAGCAACGGGAGCUCACCCCGUCGCGGGGAUUCGAACCGCCAACCUUCUGACUGGGAAGUCCUAGGCUCUGUUGUUUAACCCACAGCGCCACCCGCGUCCUUACAGUGACAUGUGGGCGUGGCCAAAUUUCCAUAUGAAAAGGGACUUCUGCAGAGGAUGUGUGCCUUGGGUGAAGAGGCCCUUAGGUAUUAUGUGCGAAUAUCUUUUGCACAACUGGAAAACAAUGCUUUAAAUUACUCUGCAUGGAGCAGUUUGGGAUAACUAGUUCUAGCAGUGGCAACAUCAACAAUGCUCAAAGCAGCAAGGAAGAAGGAGGAGACCCUUAAGGAAAUCCACAAGCCCCAUCCCUGACUCCCCUCAAUUUUGACCAGAUCACACACCCUUCUAAAAGCAGUGCCUAAGGGUGUCUGCUCAAGAAGUAAGGGAGACACCCCGCAACAUCAUCUAAAUGCUAAAGGCAAUAUAGUCGCAAGUUGUAAAAGACUUGGCAUAUAAAGAGAUCCUUUGUUGCAACUUACGACUCAUUAGUCCUGUUCAUUUUCAUGUCUGUGGUUUUCAAACAAGACAUCAACAUUGGGGUACAGGAGUCCCAAGACCCCAUCACAAUUACAUCAAACUAAGCUCCACUUUAGAGCAGUUAUAAAUUACCUGAUAUGUUACAAGCAAAAAACGGCACUGGUUAUCUAAAGUUCUGGAAAGGCACUCAGUUCUCAGGUUGAAAGCCUAAAGUCAAAGAAGAAAAUACAGUUUUAUAUACUUCUUAAAAAUGAUCUCAGGGUCAGGAAUCAUCAGUCAUGCUCAUAUUUGUGGGUGGGGGUGUUCCAGAUGAUGGAGCUGCCUUUUUCUUUUUAUCAGCAGAGCCCUGUUUCGCUUUAAUUUGUGUAUCUCAGGAGAUAUCGUGAACUGGUAUGUCUUCUGGUAGUUGAUCGCAGGAGAGAGGAAAAGUCCAUUUAAAAAUGAAAAAGUGUCCGUUUGCAUUAACAGGCCAGCACUUUUGCCUGCUUGUAAUCGCACACCUGCCUGGUUCGGCUAGUUCCUCCUCAUCAGUCUCUCUCUGUUUCUGAUUCAAGUUCUUCUGCACUUCCGCAAAUUACUUCUGCAUUAUCUAUCACAUUUAUCACCCACAUUUCCUCCAAGGAGCUCAAGGGGGUGUACAGAAGUUCUCCCCUGUUUUACCUUCACUGCGACCCUGUGAGGUGGGUUGGGCUGAGAGUGAGUGACUGUCCCAAGGGACUGUUCCAGUGAGCUUUGUGGCUGUGUCGGGAUUUGAACCCUGGUCUCCCAGGUCCUAGAAGGGACGCAGGUGGCGCUGUGAGUUAAACCACAGAGCCUAGGACUUGCCAAUCAGAAGGUCGCGGUUCGAAUCCCGUUGCUCGGUCCCGGCUUCUGCCAACCUAGCAGUUCGAAAGCGUGUCCAAGUGCAAGUAGAUAAAUAGGUACCACUCCGGCGAGAAGGUAAACAGUGUUUCCGUGCGCUGCUCUGGUUCGCCAGAAGCGGCUUAGUCAUGCUGGCCACAUGACCCGGAAGUUGUACACCGGCUCCCUUGGCCAAUAAAGCGAGAUGAGCGCCGCAACCCCAGAGUUGGCCACGACUGGACCUAAUGGUCAGGGGUACUCUACCUUUACCUUCUACUCCCAGGUCCUAGUCCAACACUCUAACCACUACACCACACAGGCUCUCUAUGUAGCCCAAACCCAGACACAAGGCUAUGAGCAGACUUAGAGUAACUCCAAAGUUUGCAGGCCUUGAAAAAAAGCUUGGGGUGGGAAGAGACCCAAACUGGCCAAUAAGGACUCUGAUGGGCCGACCAGGAAGUGGAAACUGUAAACCAGGUGGGAGAGGGAAGAAAAUGGAGUGGCUAGAAAGGAAUGAAGAAAGAGACACGUAGAUAUAAAAUAGGUUUGGAGAACCAUCUUAUUCUGUGGAUAGGUCAUGUCCUGUUUACACUGAGAAGUUAUUUUUAAGUGUCCCCAGGGACAGAAGUAACAGUGCUGAAAUAAAUGGUUGAAAUAAAUAAUGUGGACCACCCAAAAUCAAAAAGGUACUGUAUUUUUCUUUUUUUAUAAAUAAUUUUAUUGAAUGAUUUUAUGUUGCAAAAAACAAUACAGCCAUACUACCACUAAAUAUAAUUACGAAAUAAAAAUUACAUACAUCAAUAUUUAGUUUGUUACUUGUUAUUUACCAUCUUAUUUCCUCCCAAACAUUGCAUACAAAAACACACAUAUGUGCAGACACCCACACACCCACACCGGCACACAAAAUGAUAAUAAUGAAAGUAAAUAUUUUUCCCCCUUUUAUCUUCCAAAAUCUUUUCUUCAUUUCUUCAACUUUGACUUCCUGUCAAGUCCCUCUGCAUAUAUAAGGUACUGUAUUUUUCUGUGUAUAACACGCCCCCAUGUAUAAGACGCUCCCUAUUUUGGGGGAAUCCAAAUUAAGAAAAAUGGGGGGGAGAUUGGCCCAGAGUUGUUGAGCUUCUUUUUUGGGGGGAUGGCCCAGGCUUGGUGAGCUUUUCGGGGAGGGGAAUUGCUGAAAAUCGCUCACCCGCCUGACCUACGCUGCCACUCACAUGCGUCGCAAUAGCCACCUAUCCUCUGUUCCCACACCAGCGCCAAUCAACUGCCCUAUUGCCGCAGCGACAGCCUAUCAACACCAGCCCUUGCCGCAGCCACCAAUAACACACCACAUAGCCGCUGACAAUCUCUGGCUCGUGGCAGCAACCAACCCCACGUCCCCCCUAUGCACUAUUAUUGUAGAAGACGAACCCCAAUUUUUUACAUAAUUUUUUAGUAAAAAAACCCCCAACCCUCAUCUUAUACACGGAAAAGUACGGUAACUAGUGAAAUACCGGUGCUUGUAUUUUUCUUUGGCAAUACGAGGUGACCUUGCUGGUCAUCAUUUGUUUUCGUUUAAAGGGGUGGGGCUAUGAGGGAGGGGUGUGGUCUAAGGAGGAGAGGGAGGGGCUAAAGGCCGCCUGAGAACCUGCUCCUGAUUCAGACUUGCAGCCAAAGCUCCUCAAAUCUCAUCUCUGGAGAGUGUUUCCAGUGGGACUCUCUUCUCCAAAACUGGGGCAUGUCUUCACCCUAAAAUCUGUUGUCCCUUUAGACAAGAUUGAAAGAUUGAUGGGCCUUUUGAUGGCUGCUAAGGGGACUUGCGGUUGCUGGCUUUCUUUGUAAGAGUGCCCUCCUUCCCUUCACACCUAUUCUUAAUGUAAUUACAUUAAAUAGGUAGAAGAAAGUUUGCCUUCCCCCUCCUCCCCAUUGAGAUUAUUACUUUUCAAUCUGCGUUAACAUGAUCUUACAGCUGACUGAGCACUCCCCUCUGACCUUUCUUGCCUUGGGAACAGCGCCCGCCUUAAUUGACAGUUGGGAUCGUGAGCUCUGCUGAAGGGAGAUUAGCAGUGGCUUAGCUAAUUAGUAUUUAAAUGUUUGCUAAUGUUGCAAUGGGCUUGCCAAUGGCAAGCUUAUUAAAAACUGAUCCAAAGGUUUUUUCCCCCUUAGUUUUACAGAAAGGGAAAAGAAGCCUUUUUUAAAAAAUAAAAGAGAAACGUCCAAUUACAUUUCUUUUGAUUACAUCACCCUACAUGGAACAGCAGGAGCUUUGAAAUUUUUUAUUAUUUCUUUGUUUGGUUAUUAAAUUUAUAUGCCGCUCUUUAUCCAGGGAUCAUAGGGCAGUUUACAGUAUGUUGAAGGGUAUGGAGUUAUCCAAACCCUGAGAAAUCUGAAGGCAGCGCUGAAUAGGGAAGUUUUUUAAUGUUUAUUGUUUUAUUUUGUUUUAUAUCUGUUGGAAGCCACACAGAGUGGCAACCCACACAGCUGGGUGGGGUAUAAAUAGUAAAGGUCUUAUGAUGAUGAUGAUGAUGAUGGAAUAAGAUGUCUCUUUUUUCAUCAGAGAAAUGUUGGAGGGUAACGGUAAAGGUAAAGGUAAAGGUAAAGGUAAAGGGACCCCUGACCAUUAGGUCCAGUCGUGGCCGACUCUGGGGUUGUGGCGCUCAUCUCGCUUUACUGGCCGAGGGAGCCGGCGUUUUUCUGCAGACAUGGUCAUGUGGCCAGCAUGACAAAGCCGCUUCUGGCGAAUCAGAGCAGCACACAGAAACACCGUUUACCUUCCCGCCAGAGCGGUACCUAUUUAUCUACUUGCACUUUGACGUGCUUUCGAACUGCUAGGUGGGCAGGAGCAGGGACCGAGCAACGGGAGCUCACCCCGUCGCGGGGAUUCAAACCGCCGACCUUCUGAUCGGCAAGUCCUAGGCUCUGUGGUUUAACCCACAGUGCCUGUGCAUAUAGACCUCUAUGCAAUAGGGAACCUGCAUGAUGGGUCUGUAGGCUUUCCACAAGUGGACAUUGGAGGGUGGGGAGGGCCUGGCGUCCCAGGAGGGAAAGGGGCAAAGUGGUUGGGAGGCCAGAACUGUGCAGGCGCACCACCACUUUCCCCAUCCCCGCUGCCUUGCCCCUCCCCAUCUUGGUGACAGUAGUGAUGACAUUGGCAGGAAACCAGCAUUUGAGAUCCACCACACCGGCGAAACCACUUCUGCACUUCUCUCUUUAUCUGUUCUAGAAUAAAGGGGUUCCUGCUCAGAAUGUUGCUUCUCCUGUUAUUAGCAUUGCUUCUGAUUGGCUCCAUCCAAUCCCGCAAGGUCUGGGGAUUUCUACAGAUAUACAUGGGGGUGGGGGGUGGGAGUUUUGACGCUGGGUAAAAAUGUGGCUGGUCAUCCAAGCUUUAGACUAAGCAGCAUUCAUUGCCACCUUGGCAUAGUUAUGUUCUCAGUAUAGUCUUAAUGUUUAUUGAAGUUGCAUGUAAACGGACUAUUGUUUUAUUGUAUUUUAAUGUUUCCAGCUCUGGGGUUGUGUGAGCAAUCAAGAGUGGAUUAGAAAUACUUUAUAUAUUUUAUAAACCCAGUAUACCUGAAGGAGCGUCUCCACCCCCAUCAUUCUGCCCGGACACUGAGGUCCAGCUCUGAGGGCCUUCUGGUGGUUCCCUCACUGUGAGAAGCCAAGUUAUAGGGAACCAGGCAGAGGGCCUUCUCGGUAGUGGCACCCGCCCUGCAGAACGCCCUCCCAUCAGAUGUCAAAGAGAACAACAACUACCAGACUUUAGAAGACAUCUGAAGGCAGCUCUGUUUAGGGAAGCUUUUAAUGUUUGAUGGAUUACUGUAUUUUAGUAUUUUGUUGGAAGCCACCCAGAGUGGCUGGGGAAGCCCAGCCAGAUGCCUGGGGUAUAAAUAAUAAUAACAAUAAUAAUAAUAAUAAUAAUAAUAAUAAUAAUAUAAUUAUUAUUAUUGAAUAAAUAUUCAUUAAACACAUAAAUAUUUGAGUGAAUAAAUAUUAUUUUAGCAGUAUCUAAAGAAAUGCCAUUUCUUGAUAAAAUAAAUAUAUUAUUUCACUAACUCUCCUCAUAUUUCUAUUUUCUCUACGUAUCAUAAUAUUUGUCUGUUUAACUCAUAAUUUCAAUCACUAGUCAUACAAAGAAGGCAGUUUUAUCAUCAGUUUGUGAUGUUAAACCACACACACACACAACUUCCACAUCCUCAGGUGAAACCUCACCCUUUAUAAACCCUAAUAAGAUAACUAGUGAAUCGAAUGGCAGGUCAAUACUGAUAAUUUUAUUGAUUUCAAACUGGAAUCUAUUUAAAUGCAUCUGACACUACUGGAACCAUUUAUAAUAGGAAUAAACACAUCUGAACCCUGGAAAGCUCACCUGGUUAGAGUGUGGUGCUGAUGAUGCCAAGGUUGCAGGUUCAAUCCUUGUAUGGGGCAGCUGAAUAUUCUUGCAUUGCAGGAGGUUGGACUAGAUGAUCCUCAGGGUCCCUUCCAGCUCUUCAACUCUAUGAAUCUAUGAACCAAUCUGGCCAGUCUGGGCCAGCUUGGAGCAAUCUAAUCAUUAGCUUUGAAGAGUCAUGAGAGAUUUACUGAUGAGACUGUUUGUUGUUGUUGUUUAGUCGUUUAGUCGUUUCCGACUCUUCGUGACCCCAUGGACCAGAGCACGCCAGGCACUCCUGUCUUCCACUGCCUCCCGCAGUUUGGUCAAACUCAUGCUGGUAGCUUCGAGAACACUGUCCAACCAUCUCGUCCUCUGUCGUCCCCUUCUCCUUGUGCCCUCCAUCUUUCCCAACAUCAGGGUCUUUUCCAGGGAGUCUUCUCUUCUCAUGAGGUGGCCAAAGUCUUGGAGUCUCAGCUUCACGAUCUGUCCUUCCAGUGAGCACUCAGGGCUGAUUUCCUUCAGAAUGGAGAUGUUUGAUCUUCUUGCAGUCCAUGGGACUCUCAAGAGUCUCCUCCAGCACCAUAAUUCAAAAGCAUCAAUUCUUUGGCGAUCAGCCUUCUUUAUGGUCCAGCUCUCACUUCCAUACAUCACUACUGGGAAAACCAUGGCUUUAAUUAUACGGACCUUUGUUGGCAAGGUGAUGUCUCUGCUUUUUAAGACGCUGUCUAGGUUGUCAUUGCUUUUCUCCCAAGAAGCAGGCGUCUUUUAAUUUCGUGGCUGCUGUCACCAUCUGCAGUGAUCAUGGAGCCCAAGAAAGUAAAAUCUCUCACUGCCUCCAUUUCUUCCCCUUCUAUUUGCCAGGAGGUGAUGGGACCAGUGGCCAUGAUCUUCGUUUUUUUGAUGUUGAGCUUCAGACCAUAUUUUGCGCGAUGAGACUGUUUAGGGAAGCUUUUAAUGUUUAAUAGACUAUUGUAUUUUAAUAUUCUGUUGGAAGCUGCCCGGAGUGGCUGGGGAAACCCAGCCAGAUGGGCAGGGUAUAAAUAAUAAAUUUAUUAUUAUUAUUAUUAUUAUUAUUAUUAUUAUUAUUAUUACUAUUGACGCACAGAGAGAGAGCAUUGCAAUUCAUUGUGUCAUUCUGUUAAGUGUGGCUUGUUAGUGGAAGGCCAGCCACUCUGGAGCCCACAGAACAGUAGAACUAAAAACGUGGUCUGUGAUGUCCCAUCAUCUGGUGAUAGCUGGAUUUUUAUUCCCAAAAGGCAUCAGUAAACUUUAUAACUACUGGACUAGACUGUUGCAGCUGAAUGUCUGCUACUGCCCUCUAGUGGACGGAACUGAUGCAUGUAUUAGCUUUUGAAGAGGGUCUGUAUUUGCUUCUGCCAAAGCAGCAUGAUAUAUAACAACGCUGAGCUCUCUGUCGAGUGAAGUUAUUUCAGAGAGCAAGCAAACAAAGUGCCUCUGAAAGAGCAGGAAAGAACAAGAGUCAAGGCGGGGGUGCUUCUAUUCAACAUCCUAUAGCCUUACUUUUAGGAGAUAGGAGUUGACUGUCAUGGCUUUCUCACUCAGGAAAUCAAAGUACUUCUUGAUGGCAGUGCACUAUCAGUGUACUGUGAGAUUCCUAUGGGUGAAUCUCAUAUGGGUUACAUUCUGGGGACAGCAUAUACAGCCACAUCACAUAUAGUAAGCACAUUGGGUUCAAUGGCAGGUGGGAUUACCAAAGUCUUUCUUCCCAGAUGCCCAUCCCUUUUGCCCCCGUUUUAAUUAUCUUUUGACAAGUGCAUAAAGCCGAAUGUGUGCAAGUUUAAAUGCAUGAAAGUUACCUGUAUCUGCAUUUUAAGCAAAAAAAAGUCAGUGCCUUCUGAUCUGAAUUAAAGUCUGUGUCAUAAUGGCAGAAUUAGAGAUUGGUAGCAGAGCAAGGGCCCAAGCUCUGGCAUAGUUGGACAGAAUUGGCUGCCUCGCAGUGUUUCACUGUUGGGCUGAGCCUGUCUUGGGAACCCUGAUUUGGGCUGGAUCUGCACACAGGGGGAAAAACACACUAUAAGAAAACCAGAAAUUAGAUUUAUAUAACAAAAAAAAAACCCUAUGGAAAAAGCAUAUAAAAAAUUCUUGCUCUCUGGCGCCAUCUGGUGUUGCAUGUUUAUAGUGCAUGCAAAUCGUUUCUUUACUAAUGUUGCUGAGUCCCAGAUGUACCUGUAAUUAUAGAAGUGCCUCACCAAGUGCAGAAAAUGACAUUGUUGUUGCCUGGGACAUUUAUUUGACCCAGAUCCCUUCUGGUUUGCAUGGUCAAAGUUGUAAGCCAUCAUCAGAGGCAGAUUUCGGGCAGCGCAAUUUGUUCUGCCACACUCGGUGCCGAGCCUAGGGGGCGCUGCAGGGCGUCACAACUAUGACAUAGUGAACUGAGCACAACGGAAGGUGAGAGGCGGGAGGCACCGAAUUUUGGCCUUGCACAGGGCGCCGCUGAAAUUUGAAAUAUCAAAGUUCGUCCCUGCCAUUAUCAAGGGGGAGGAAAUAGGCUCAAACUGAUAAGUCUUCCGAAGGCUUCUAAGGAGUUUGGAAAACCAAUGACAAAGAAAAGACAUUGCCUGUAUGAACCAAUAUUUAUGUAAAAUAUGUUAUUGAGGGCUAGAAACCUGCUUUUUUAAACAUGAAAGCUGACCAUCAGUACAUUCCAUGCUUCUUGUGCAAUGUCACAGAAUCAUAUAAAAUGCAAGGGCCCAGCUAUGUGACAUGUUUUUGUUUGUUUGUUUGAAAAUCAGUCCUCGAGCAGAGACCUUUGUACAGUGGUGCCCCGCAAGACGAAUGCCUCGCAAGACGGAAAACCCGCUAGACAAAAGGGUUUUCUGUUUUUGAGUUGCUUCGCAGGACGAAUUUCCCUAUGGGCUUGCUUCGCAAGACGAAAAUGUCUUGCGAGUCUUGAGAUUUUUUUUCGCUCCCCCCCCCUUUUCUAAGCCGCUAAGCCGCUAAUAGCCUUUUAGCAGCUAAUCCGCUAAGCCGAUAAGCCUUUAAUAGCCGCUAAACCGCUAAUAGCGCUAAUCCGCUAAGCCGCUAAUAGGGUUGCUUCGCAAGACGAAAAAACUGCUAGACGAAGACACUCGCGGAACGGAUUAAUUUCGUCUUGCGAGGCACCACUGUAAUGGAAUUCCUUAUCUAAGACUAAUGAAGGUCUGCAAAAAGAACGAGCAAUUGCAGAAAAGACAUAGUGUACCUGGUGGAAACAUUUUAUCAGUCUCCAGGUUAAGGGCCAAACUAUUAUGCUGGAGAUCUUAUUCAUCUCUCAAAUUAAAGCAACAAUAAAUUGCAGCCAUGGAAAUGGGGUGCUAAUUUGAUUGGGGAAAUGGUUCAGGGACUGGGAUGUUUAACUCUUUCCCCUCUGCCAUUUUCCCACUUCAAAUAUUUCCCCUCAAGCUGCAAAUUUCAAUGAAAUAGCAGCUGGAGGAGGUGACGGUUUAGCUUGAGGGAGAUGGCGCACAGGGAAAGGGUUAAAUCUCCUCAGCCUCUGUGCUAUGCCCCUGGUCAAAUUAGCAGCAUCACAGUUGAAUUUCCUUUUAAAAAAAUAAUAAUUAGGAGAUCAGUCAUGGAUCUCCCAGCAUAACAUACCAUCUGGCUCCAACACUUGCCGUUUUGCCCAUUUUGAGUGAAAAUCCUGGUAUGCCUAACGCAUUAUCUGUGUGUGUGUGUGUGUGUGUGUGUGUGUGUGUGUGUGUGUACAAAGUUCAAAGUGCCAAACGAAGGUAGUGUCAGCCUGAUGAAACUUGGUGGCACUGAAAGCUCCUAAAGGGUGCCAUUAUUUUAGAUAAUUUCAGCUCGAUUUUCUGCUUCGUUGAAGGCACAAGGAAGCUCUCCACCCGUUAAAUGUUUUGCACAGCCAAGUGUUAAAUCGCUUCAUAUCAGAGCUGAACCUCAACCUCAUCACCCUUAAUCUUUCUGAUUGGUUACGUCUUUGCUUUCUGUCUGAAGGCUGAGAAUCCGAGCGCCAACAAUCAGCACAUCAAGCUGUUCUGGUCUUGGAAGAACAGCCGUCCCAUUCAGAAAGAACUCAUUCACAUUUGUGUUUCUCAAGGAUGGACUCUCAACCUGAAUAUACGCCAUGCUGAUUCACAUUUGUGGCUGUCCUCACCUGAGGAGGAGCCAAUGGAGAGUCGGUGGACAGGAUGAACUAGGGGUGGCUGAGAAAUCUGAUUUCAAGGCAAGGCUACCUCAGUCACACUUCCUGAAACAAUACGCGAAGCAAAACACAACCUUUCUACCAAAUUCACGCUACCCUGAAUUUUGCAGUUCUGCAGCGAAGCAAUGCAUAUGGAAAUGCAUUAACAAGAAAUGGAUAUAAUGGUGAAAACAGCGCACAAAAAUGUGGGGGGAAAUUGUUUUGCAAAAAUGUGUAAUCAGUCAAAUAAAUUCAUACAAGAAUGAGAAAUUUAUUAUUAUUAUGAGAAUAUUAUUAAAUAUUAUUGUGAUGAUUUUAUUAAAUUAUUAUGAGAAAUUUGCACUAAAAUGUUAACAGAUUUUUAUGAGGGCUUAAAAAAUACAAUCUCAAACUGAUGUAGAAAUUUUGGAGUGGAACUUAAGAUUGGUAAAAUGAGAAUGUGAGGGAAACCGAAAGUGUCAGCUUUGCCUAUCCUAGGCUGAACGCAUGUAGGCUGACUGAAUGUGCGGAGGCACCAAUUCAGAUGUGCCUGAGCCACUUCUCAAAUGGUGCUCAGUCAGGCCCUGCUAGGCCUAAGGAACCACCGAAUUCAGCAAACAUAGCCGUGGUGGCCUAAAAUGGAUGGCAGCAACAGAAAAGUCCAGCACUGUGUAACUGGUGUCUUUUGCUGAAGUCAGGUGACAAGCAGUAUGAGACCAUGGCAGCUUAAGAUAAGAGAGGCUGAGAAGAUCGCCGUUGAGCAGCAUGGCAGGUGGUGAAAAAAAAUCACACACUUGGGGUUUCCCCCCCCCCCCCAAAAGAUGCUGCUAUGAAAUGUGUCUAUGUGACUUGGGCAAGUUACCCAAAAGUGGAAGGUGAUGGCAAUUUGCAGGGGCACUGAGUACCCUUCCCCAAGGAAGAUUCUGGUGUCCACCUCUGGACCCAGUUCCAGAAUGGCAUAAAGGUGUCGACCCACCUGUCUCUUUGCUUUUCAUUAAGAAGGUGGCACAUCAGUGUGUUUUUUGCAUUACCUGAGACGAAACGUAUUCUACUUGUAUAUUGUUCCUUUACAAAUGAAUGCAAGCAUCUGAACUAGAUACAGAAGUACAGUGGUACCACGGGUUAAGUACUUAAUUCGUUCCGGAGGUCUGUUCUUAACCUGAAACUGUUCUUAACCUGAGGUACCACUUUAGCUAAUGGGGCCUCCCACUGCUGACACCGCACGAUUUCUGUUCUCAUCCCGAAGCAAAGUUCUUAACCCGAAGUACUAUUUCUGGGUUAGUGGAGUCUGUAAACUGAAGCGUCUGUAACCUGAAGUGACUGUAACCCGAGGUACCACUGUAGUGUCACUAAGUUCCCCAUCUGCACUGUAUAUUUAAAGCAGCAUCGUACCACUUUAAUCUGUCAUGACAUCGCCCAAGGACUCUUGGGAGCUGUAGUUUGUUAAGGGCGAUGCCUGUCCCUGCCUAUUAUCUCAAGCUUAUUUUUUUAAAAAAAUACUCAGGUGUUUUCAAAAUCCUGAUGGAGCGCACAGGAACCUGAUAAUUGGAAUGACUGACCACUCCACCUUUAAAAAACAACAACACAUUUUUGAAAUAAGCAAAAUUUAAAGGCGGCUAUCGUGAAACUCCCUGAAACUCGACCUCUCUGCAGGGGCUGCCAUGUCCCCAGACUUCAUGUCGUCAUGUGAGGGGAAAACAAAAAUGUUUUGUUAAUUUUAAAACAUAAAGGUGACUAGCACAAAAACCCCUGGAGCUACCCAUCUGAAAUUUGGUAGCGUUAAUCCAUUCUGAAGAAGUGACCAAGUCUCUAAACUCCUGUGUGGAAAAAGGAGAAAGGUGUUGCCAUUUUGGUUUUGCGAUGAGAGUCAAUAGGAUUUCUGGAGAUUUGUAAUUUGGCUCCAGGGUGAGUCAAAAUGGGUCCGGAUUGGUCCCAUCCAGAUUGGGUCCAAUCCCAGAUUUCCAAAUGGGACCAUAAAAUUGGAUUGGGGGGGGGGUCAGUGCAAAUAUACUGAAAACGGGCAGUAUUCCUCCUCCUGCCGGAUUUCCCUGUUAUGCCUGAGGAAUAAAAAAAACUUUUAUGGCAUUACGACAGCAUUGAUGACAAGAGUAAUAAUGCUCACAGUAAUUAGGACAAGCAGGGAUUCCAUUUCCAUUACACGAACCAAUCGAUUCCGGGCUUUAAUGUCUCUCUCUUCUCUUUCUAAAAAAGUCCACGCUGGAGCUAAAUCUUAAAACUAAUUUUUUUAAAAAAGUAGUUAACAGGAUCUUUGGAAGCAACAUGGAAUUUUAAAAUCGAAUCUGUAAUUUUACAAAUGAAACUAAUGUGAUUUAUAUAUCAUACACUUCCAUUAAAACUGGGAUGUCGUUUGGUCAUGUCAUCUCAGUCACAUAUAAUAAAAGAAUAUAUGCACCAGGGAUGCAGUUGCUUCUAAGGAACUUCCUUUAAUUAGUUUAUUUUGGGGGGGACAACUCCUUGACCUGGAGGCUGGAUUGUGUUGCCAUGGCCUUCCGUGGGGGGCUACAAAAUGACAGGGCCUUUCCUUGCCUAUACUGAACAAGUCCUUGACUGUCACCAGAGCACCAGAAUUAGCCAUGAGGUGGAGUUCCUCUUGGUCCAGACUGCGAAAGACAAGGCCUCAAAAUGCAGAAGAGUGUUUCUUUGCAGCAGGGGUCAGGACCAAGGCUAGCUCCGCCCAGUGCGAUCCAAUCCUAAAUGUCCAGCAUGGAUCCCUAACUUUCAAAUAGGAAAAAGUGGAUUGACAAUGACAAGGCCUGGAGGGAUCCUGAGCACUUGAUUCUGUAAGCUCAUUCUUGAACCAGAACUAGAAUUCUGAUAUCCGUUUAGACUGCCAAUGUGUCUGGCCCUGUUGUAAUGCUUGAUGUAUUAUUGUAUUUUUAAUAUUCUGUUGGGAGCCGCCCAGAGUGGGGUACUACUACUACUACUACUACUACUACUAAUAAUAAUAAUAAUAAUAAUGUAUCCUACAGUUUACCCAUAUCCUGAUGUCACAAAGUUGCAUGUUUCCCAGUUCCCAUUCCACAUCCUUCACUCCUGUUGGCGGAGUUUGGAGUGUGGAAACACACGGUCUACUGGAUGCACAGCUUCUGAGGUCACCACUGCAUGGAGUUCUGGCCUCAAGGUUUUCUUUUUAUAUAUAUAAUAUUUUAUUAAGUUUCCAUUUUAUAACAUUUAAAUCCAUCCUUGUUCUUCACAGUAGUUUUUGCUCUUACGAGCUGUUUGACUUCCCUCCCUCCCGCCUCAUGGUUACCAUAUUGCCUUUCUAUGUCAUAGCUUUUGUAUCUUUUCCUGCUUAUCUUUCUUCAAUUCAACUGUCAAAUUUUUAAAUAAAUAUAAGAAGGUAUAAGUCAUAGUCAUUACAUAGUCAUUUUUAAAUGAGUCCUGUUAGGGUUGUUAAAUGUUUGCAAUUGUCCUUCAAAUAUUGUACAAAUUUACCCCCGUCUUUUUGGAAAGCUUGAUCACGCUGCUUUCGGAUUUUCCCAGUCAGCUUUGCCAAUUCUGUAUAUUCCAUCAUCUUCUUCUGCCACUCUUCAAUUGUUGGUAAUUCCUGUUGUUUCCAUUUUGGGGCUAAAAGAGUCCUUGCUGCUGUAGUUGCAUAAAUAAAUUUGAGCACAGAGUCUCAGGGCGCUGCAAGGGAUGCCACAAACUUUAGAAUGGAGUGUGACAGGUGGGGGCACUCAAUUUUGGUGUCGCCCGGGGCACUGCUGAAAUUUGAAACUCCAAGGUCUGUCACUGACCAGGACAACAGAUCCAGCCUCCAAUAAAUGCAUCACCCACUCCUUUUGCUGCUGCCAGGGUGAAUGUGGGAUGUUCAGUGCCAUGAGCCUUAUUUGCCCAUGUGUUUCACAGAGUGUUUUGAUUGGCAUGGAGGAAUGGAUGUUAGCAACAUCUGAAGGCAUGCAAAGAUGACAGCUAUCACCCGACUCCAGCUGCUUAGUUCUGCCAGACAAUAUAGGAGAUAAAAAAUAAUGGGGAAAAAGAAAGAAAUUAACAUACAAUAAUCCUUUUUUUCUUUUGCUUUUUUGCUGGGACACGGGUGGCACUGUGGUCUAAACCACUGAGCCUCUUGGGCUUGCCGAUCAGAAGAUUGGCGGUUCGAAUCCCCACGAUGGGGUGAGCUCCCAUUGCUCGGUCCCUGCUUCUGCCAACCUAGCAGUUUGAAAGCACGAAGUGCAAGUAUAUAAAUAGGUACCGCUCCAGCAGGAAGAUAAACAGCAUUUCCAUGCGCUGCUCUGGUUUCAGUGUUCCGUUACGCCAGAAGCGGCUUAGUCAUGCUGGCCACAUGACCUGGAAAAACUGUCUGCGGACAAACGCUGGCUCCCUCGGCCUGUAAAGCGAGAUGAGCAUCGCAACCCCAGAGUCGUCUGCGACUGGACUUAACUGUCAGGAGUCCUUUACCAUUUUAAUCCUAUUUUUAAUUGCAAACAUUAGAAUUUUGGCGCAUCUGAGCCAGGGCUCAUUACUAAAAUUGCAAACUGGCAAAAUUCAUAUUACAGACCAGCUAAUGGUAAGUUUUGGUCACAGGAGGUUUCUGGUAUGUGCUACUUCUGGUGGGUCACAAGGUGGGCAGGCAUAAUUGUGACCUAACACGCAGCAAUGGCGCGUCAAAGAUAAUAUUACAACUCCUCCCACCCCCGUCCUGAAUGCAAUGCUAAAUCUCCUGUCAUGCGUGGAAUGUAAUUACCAUUAAGGUUGAAAAACGAGAGAGAUGAGCAGCAGUGGCAGUUUUUCUCAGGUUUAUGUAAACACGGCCUCCAAGGAGGAGGCUGGAAUGCUAGAAUCAAAGGGCCCCUGUCACAUCAGCCCUCUAAAUCUCUAAGCGGCUGCCUUGGAAUCAUCUGGCCUCGGUGAACACAGGGAGCCGAUAAAAGCCUUGGCUGAAGCCAGCGCCAAUCUGCUAAUUUAAGAGGGAGAUGGCCCUAUAGUCGCUGUCCCUCAGAAAGUAGCAAUUUUGGCACUUUUGUUCCUGGAAGAAAAAAAAGAUUUGCUGGUUUAAAGGAACAACAAAUGGCCAGGAAAGAGGCAGGAAUCAUUCCUUGGAUAGUUAAUACAGGCUGGGAGGCCACCUUUAGCUCUGAUGUUGUGAAGACACAAUAGAUAUUUAUGGUUGACUUUAAGUCAAAGUUAAAGGGCAAGUUCACUUGCGACAUUCAGGGAUACAUUUGAGCUCCAUUUUGGGGAGUUGCUAAUGACUUGUGGGACUUUUUAUCCCCAGAUGCAUCAACAGGUGCCUCUGAUAUGUCCAAUGAGGCCAGAAUUAAGCCAGGAUGGUGGAGGAGCAGCAGUUACAGGACAUCACACAGGGGCGGAUUUUUAAUCUUUCGUAUUACGACACUCCGUGUGAGGCCAAAAUUUGGCCCCCCUCAAGGAUCUGCUCAGUUAUGGAUCUUCUUGAUUUUCUGCCCCCUCAGCUCAGUGUCCUGUGGGGUGGGGUACAGACCGCAGCGCCCUAAAUCCAGUGCUCCACACUAUUUUUUUGCAUUUUCAACCUUCUUCAGACCACAUGCCAGUGUUGGGCAGGGUAAGAACAAAAGUGGUUGGCGCAACUAAUGUACAUUUUACCUUUGCAGAGUAGUCUAGUGUCAGGAGCGGGUCUCAGAAGCAGGUCAGUGAACUCUUUAUUUCAGGCUGACUCAGGAAGCCAGGCCUAAUAAGCACAGCAACCUUUCACAGUAGAUCAUGAGUAGGCAAACUAAGGCCUGGGGGCCGGAUCUGGCCCAAUUGCCUUCUCAAUCCGGCCCGCGGACAGUCCGGGAAUCAGAGUGUUUUUAUAUGAGUAGGAUGUGUCCUUUUAUGUAAAAUGAAUCUCUGGGUUAUUUGUGGGGCAUAGGAAUUUGUUCAUUCCCCCCCCCCAAAAAAAAUUAUAUAGUCUGGCCACCCACAAGGUCUGAGGGACAGUGGACCGGCCCCCUGCUGAAAAAGUUUGCUGACCCCAGCAGUACUGUAGAUCAUGCUUCUAUGCAGCAGUUGUGGGGACUGAAGGCCCCCGCUUUCCCACAGUUGCCUAAGCUUCCUUCUCCCCCAGAUCUGAGACUCUGUCGCCAUGCCUGUCUUUGCUCCACCUUCUUCAUACCUCUUCUGGUUCUGGGAGAUCAGCAGAAGGAGGUGCAAGGAGAGUCCUGAAAGCCAGAGAGAGAGCAUUGAAGGGCUGCACUUGGCCCCCAAGGCCUGAGUCACCCCGCCCCUGUGGGAAGGAAUACCAUUGGCUGCCUCCUUCUUUGGCAGCUCCUCCCUCUCGUCACCCACCAUCUGGGCACGCUCAGAAUUAGACCUUCUGCUCUCGUCUUUCUCUCUAUCAAAAUAGACUGCUGAGGUGUGCCAGGAGAUCUGUGCGUGAGCAUCAAGAGUCCUGGAUCAGUUUUAGCCCAGUUGUGUGGAAGAGCCCGUCAGGCUGGGACUAAGGUGCAGAGUUGCUAUGAGGGGCCUGAACCCCCAGAAGUCAGCUUGGCAUGUUUGCUUGCUUUUUGGCAGCUGGGCAAAGAGGUUAAGAGGGAGCUGUGGGCCUGUAGCCGCAUCUCAGCUCUAAACUCAGGAGAUAUCAUAGUUCAGUCCUUCUCAGCCUCUGAACCUGAGGUCUCCUCAAAUGAGGAGCAAGGGGAGUAGGACCUUCCAGUGGAUAAUAAUAAUAAUAAUUUAUUAUUUAUACCCCGCCCAUCUGGCUUGGCUUCCCCAGCCACUCUGGGCAGCUUUCAACAGAAUAUUAAAAUGCAAUAGUCUAUUAAACAUUAAAAGCUUCCCUAAACAGGGCUGCCUUCAGAUGUCUUCUAAAAGUCUGGUAGUUGUUUUUCUCUUUGACAUCUGGUGGGAGGGCGUUCCACAGGGCGGGUGCCACUACCGAGAAGGCCCUCUGCCUGGUUCUCUGUAACUUGGCUUCUCACAGCGAGGGAACUGCCAGAAGGCCCUCAGCGCUGGACCUCAGUGUCCGGGUAGAGACGCUCCUUCAGGUAUACUGGACUGAGUCCGUUGCCAAUGAUCCUGAGAAGCCAUCGGAUCUGGACACCUCUGCCCCAGGACAGGACACCCCUGUAAUGUCUAUGGCAGAGCCAUUCCUUGAUCCAGAGCAGGAUUUCAGAACGUUCUGGCCUAAAGCUAGAAGAGUCCAUCUCAAGACUUAGAAUUCUGAAAGGAAGAACACUGGUCUACAUGCAAGGGAAGGAGCCCAAAGCAAACCUCUUCCUUGAAUAACCAUAGCCUCACUAAAGCUUCUUAUUUCUAAGAGACCCAGUCAUCUGAACUUGACAAUCCUCACACCACUAGCCUGGCUUCCUGAGUGGCUCUCGUCUCUCCCAGGCACACAGCUGAGAUGCUUCAGAGCUCCUGCCCAAGUGGUCACUGCUCCCAGGAGACUACUCAGGAGAUGAGGGACGGCAUGGGAACACCUUGGGCCUGAAUGAGAGCUAGGAAGGUAGAGAGCCUGGUCCAGCUCCUGUGUAAGCUCCCAGUGUGACCAGCUUUAUGACUGAAGCAACAGCACCAUCCAAGCUCCAGAUUUUCAGACUUGGGGACAUGGACAGUAAAGUGCUUUUUGUUGCUUCAGUCACACAUCUUCAGAAUGUAAAUAGUAAUACUACUGGCCUACCUUGCAAAAAUAUUGUGAAGAUUAUUGACAUCUUUUACAGCAGGCAUGGCCAAACUUGGCGCUCCAGCUGUUUUGGGACUACAAUUCCCACCAUCCCUGACCACUGGUCCUGUUAGCUAGGGAUGAUGGGAGUUGUAGUCCCAAAACAGCUGGAGGGCCAAGUUUGGCCAUGCCUGUUUUACAGCAUCUCACAUCUGUUUUUGGAUAUACACCUCUUCCAUUUAUUGAGAUGACACAUGGAAAUCUGUUAAUCAUUGAACUGUGGUAUAUAAAGUUGGUGUUUUCUGUUUGGAUUGCAGGGGGGAGGUUGUUUUGGUUUUUGCUAUAGUACUUUCCACAGUCAAACAGAUAAGCUGCAGCUUAGUUUGAAAAGUGGCUUGCCUCUUCAGCAAUCGGAUUAUUAUUAUUUUGGUCCAAAACAGGAAGCAAUACUCUUGCUACGCACAUCAUUAUAUUGUAUGUGCACAUGCCCUUUCUUGAGAUCUUGGCCAUAACCACUGAAGCCAAACAAAAUACUUGCAAGGAAUUAUCAAAAUCAACAUCUAAGUUGGUUGAAGAUCUUCAGACUCAUUCACAAGAGGUGUAACAUGAUGUUGAUCAAUAAGAACAUUGCAUCUAGCUUCUAAGUUAUGCCCUUCUCCUCAGCCCUAUGUCUUAGCUUAUUCUAGGGAAGGGUGGGAGAGAUUAGGUGCCUUCUAAACUGAUUCAAUUUUUAUUAAAAAUUUAGUUGGGAUAAAUGUAUUAAUGUAGGCUUGUAACACUCAAGUAGAGUAAAAAUACCCCCGGGGCAGGAAUUCUUCAGGAGAAGUGAGACAAAAAUUGAAUACUUUGGAGAGGGUGAGAAUGUUCUUGUGUGUAGAAACCCUUUUUGCAAUGUCACACAGCUAAACAGGACUUUUAUCAAAGUGUACUGGCGAUAAAAGCCUGGGAUGGAAGAAGAUAUAAAUGAAAAAACAAAGACUCGGAGAAAGGAGUCCCAGCUAAUGAAGAGUAAUGUCUUUGUUGAUUAAUUUUACUUCAGAUGUAUUUGGGGCUGCAAUUAAGAGAGAGGAUUUUUACUUCCUGCUAGCCUUUAGCUUCCUAUCAGGAGUCUGUUUAUUACUGAUAAGUUCUCAAAAAUUGCUGCAAUGGUGGCCAAGACAGGCUGGUCGGGAGGGAGGCGGGAGAGAGUGAGGAGACAGGCAGAGUUGGAAAACAAAAAUUCCUCAGAGCUUUCAUCCUCACUGGAGCGCUUUUGCUUUUCGACUCCAGAUGAGGCCUGUGAAAAAGGAGUUCCAUUUUAUGGCUCUCCAAAGUAUCAGAAAACAACAGGGAGUCAGUCUGGUGAGAUCUAUCCUUCUUUCCUUUCCUCAAGAACUGAUUAAAUUGUUUAAAAUAUACCUUGGUAUUUCGUUCAGUUUAAAACAAGUAAUUUGUAAUGUUACUUGUCUGGAUAAAAUCUAAAUUGUAUCCAGUGGAACUGGAUGAUGGGGGAGAAGGAUGGUGCAUAAUAAUGAUGAAAUCUACCACGUUUUCUCAUCUAGUGACCCAGAAAGCCAAAUAUAGCCCACCACCCAUGUACAAAUGGCCUACCAAGGGCUCCUGAGCCCUCUCAUUUUUGCUGACUGCCCAGGACUGCUGAAACAAGGGGUUUUCAAACCACCUGGUAGGUCACUAUAUCUGGUUCAUGGACUAGAUGUGUUGUGGGACGCAAGUUAAACUUAAGAACAUAAGAAGAGCCCAGGAUCAGGCCAAGGGCCCAUUUAGUCCAGCAUCCUGUUCUACCACAAUGGAACUACCGCCUUGGAAAAGCGUAGCAGCACAACACUUGCCACACUUGUGUUUCCCAGCAAAUGGUAAACAGAGGUAGACUGUUUAUUACGGUGGAAGCAGAACAUAAGCACAGUGGGUAGCAGCCAUCAAUGGCCUUUGGUCGAGGUCUCCUUUAAAGCCAUCCAAGUUGAUGGACAUCACUGCAUCCCAUGGAAGUGAGUUCUGUUGUUUAACUAUGAGCAGUGUGAAGAAGUGCUUUCUUUUGUCUCACCUGACUCUUCCAACAUUGAGCUUCAUUGAAUGUCCCCGAGUUGUAGUAUUAUGAGACAGGCCUAACCACUUUCCAGACACUCCAAGUGUCCCUAUUUCCAGGGACAGUCCCAAAUUUACAGAAGUCACCCUGGUUUCUGAUUUGAUCCUGGACUGUCCCACUUUUCCUUAGGAAAAUGUUGGGGAAAUGUUGGAGGGUAUGGAGUUAUGCUACCCUGAGCCAGGGAGAUAAAUAACUAUAAAAUAUUUAGAAGGCAUCUGAAGGCAGCCCUGUAUGUUGUUGUUUAGUCGUUUAGUCGUGUCCGACUCUUCGUGACCCCAUGGACCAGAGCACACCAGGCACUUCUGUCUUCCACUGCCUCCCGCAGUUUAGUCAAACUCAUGCUGGUAGCUUCGAGAACACUAUCCAACCAUCUCGUCCUCUAUUGUCCCCUUCUCCUUGUGCCCUCCAUCUUUCCCAACAUCAGGGUCUUUUCCAGGGAGUCUUCUCUUCUCAUGAGGUGGCCAAAGUAUUGGAGUCUCAGCUUCAGGAUCUGUCCUUCCAGUGAGCACUCAGGGCUGAUUUCUUUAAGAAUGGAUAGGUUUGAUCUUCUUGCAGUCCAUGGGACUCUCAAGAGUCUCCUCCAGCACCAUAAUUCAAAAGCAUCAAUUCUUUGGCGAUCAGCCUUCUUUAUGGUCCAGCUCUCACUUCCAUACAUCACUACUGGGAAAACCAUAGCUUUAACUAUACGGACCUUUGUUGGCAAGGUGAUGUUUCUAUGUUUUAAGAUGCUGUCUAGGUUUGUCAUUGCUUUUCUCCCAAGAAGCAGGCGUCUUAAUUUCGUGGCUGCUGUUACCAUCUGCAGUGAUCAUGGAGCCCAAGAAAGUAAAAUCUCUCCCUGCGUCCAUUUCUUCCCCUUCUAUUUGCCAGGAGGUGAUGGGACCAUUGGCCAUGAUCUUUGUUUUUUUGAUGUUGAGCUUCAGACCAUAUUUUGCACUCUCCUCUUUCACCCUCAUUAAAAGGUUCUUUAAUUCCUCCUCACUUUCUGCCAUCAAUGUUGUGUCAUCUGCAUAUCUGAGGUUGUUGAUAUUUCUUCCGGCAAUCUUAAUUCCGGCUAGGGAUUCAUCCAGCCCAGCCUUUCGCAUGAUGAAUUCUGCAUAUAAGUUAAAUAAGCAAGGAGACAAUAUACAGCCUUGUCGUACUCCUUUCCCAAUUUUGAACCAAUCAGUUGUUCCAUAUCCAGUUCUAACUGCAGCCCUGUAUAGGGAAGGGGUUUUUUUAAUGUUUAAUGUUUUAUUAUAUUUUUAUAUAUGUUGGAAGCUGCCCAGAGUGGCUGAGGCAACCAUUAUAUUUAUGAUCAUGGAAUAGGACAUCCCUUGUUUCAUUGGAGAAAUGUUGGAGGGUAUGACUUUUCCAAUAAUUAAGUACAUCUCUGACCAGUUUCCCCAACCUUACCAUUUUUCUACACUAAAAAGCCUUUUGUUGUAACCUUUCUUCAAUAGAGAGUUGCCCAACCACUGGGUCAUGUGACGUCCCCUUUUCUGAACCUUUUCCAGAUCUGCAAUAUCCUCUCUGAGAUGAGGCAACUAGAACUGUACACAGUAUUCCAAGUGCAGCCGCACCAGAGAUUUGUCUGAACUACAUCUUAGGGUUCUUGUGAGGGGAAACUGAGAGGAUAUGUAAGGUGGUUCACCAAAACAAAUGGCUACUGAAAUGAUAUUUCGUGACAUUCUGUUCACACAGGUCCGUCAAAGUGCAUUAAUGGGCUUGCUGCAAUAACAGAAUAGCAAGUUGUUAUUAUUUACCACACACAUACACAGCUCAGGGCUGCACACACAGCUCUUCCUCCAUUCCACGUUCUCCCCACCAAUUCAACCCUGUGGAGUAGGCUGGGCAGAGAGAGAAUGACAGGUCCAAAUAUCUGUGGGAUAUAAAGCUGUCAGUCAAGUCCAACAUUCCAAGAGGACUAACUGCCGCUAUGUGGCAGGCAGUUUUGUCAGUUGGUCAGCUGGUCGGUUGCUGCAAGGAGUGUGAACUGGUAACUGCUCGAAUGCAGUCUUCUCAUGACUCACUACUAUCUAGUCUAUCUGUUAUGUAACCUAAGCCUGCAGGAACUCUGUAAACCUGAAUGAUAGUAUAGUUGUUGUUGUUGUUUAGUCAUUUAGUCUUGUCCGACUCUUCGUGAUCCCAUGGACCAGAGCACGCCAGGCACUCCUGUCUUCCACUGCCUCCCUCAGUUUGGUCAAACUCAUGCUGGUAGCUUCGAGAACACUAUCCCACCAUCUCAUCCUUUGUCGUCCCCUUCUCCUUGUGCCCUCCAUCUUUCCCAACAUCAGGGUCUUUUUCUUUACAGCAUUGGACUUUCCUUUCGCUUCCAGGCAUAUCCACAACUGAGCGUCCUUUCAGCUUUGGCCCAGCCGCUUCAUCAGCUCUGAAUCUACUUGUACUUGUCCUCCGCUCUUCCUCAGUAGCAUAUUGGAUGCCUUCCAACCUGAGGGGCUCAUCUUCCAGCAUCAUAACUUUUAUAUGCCUGUUGUCUUUGUCCAUGGAGUUUUCUUGGCAGGGAUACUGGAGUGGCUUGCCAGUUCCUGCUCCAGGUGGAUCACGUUUGGUCAAAACUCUCCACUAUGACCUGUCCAUCUUGGGUGGCCCUGCACGGCAUAGCUCAUAGCUUCUUUGAGUUAUUCAAGCCCCUUCGCCACGGCAAGGCAGUGAUCCAUGAAGUAAGAUAGUAUGGUAGUUUAUGUUAAUAUGAUUCAGAUUCAUGUGUGUUUUCUUUAAGAGGGACAGAAAGGGAUUAUCAACCAGGAAGGUAUAAUUAUUGAUAGGACUCAAACGAGUUAGCAACCUGCUUGUCACUGCAUAAGCUCAAACAGGGGAUCGUUUAAACUCUGCUAAAUUAUAUAAACGUUCCCACAAUAUCAUGGCUGAAUGAGGAUUUGAACCAGAGUCUUCACAUCCUACUAAGCUACUAAAACAUGCUGACUCUCAGCAGCCAUGCCAAGUUUACAUGAUAUAUCAAAAAUAAGACUUUCAGGGUCACAUGCCUUGUGGUCCAGGGUUGCUUGUUUGUGUGCUUUGACCCAGAUUCAUCACUUUUCAAUGCUACAGGGAAGGGGGGUGCUUCCUUUGUCCACCAAGAAGCAGAGCUAUCAACAAGUAUACCCAACAAGGCAGCUGUACCCUCAGGCUUAUGGAGACACCACUGGUUUAGCAUCAAGAGCAGCUGUCCUCCAGUCUGUAAGAACUGGUAAGGGCCUUCUUGGCCUUGCUCAGAUGGGAGAAAGUGGCGAGUGCAUUAAGCCGGCCACCUCCUGGGAGCUGUCCACUGUUUCAGAUCAGCAGCCUAAGCCCUAAAAGCACCUCGAAUGCAGCCAUGCCAUCACAGUGUUCUGUGAUUAGAUUGUCAGCCUUCAUUCUCACUGCCUGCCAAAGGGAUCUAACAGGAUAGUAUGUCUGAGAGAUGUGUGGUCCUAAGCCAACAAGAAUACAUGGCAUGCUUUUAAAUCAAUUGAAACAAGCUGGAUUAAGGGUGUGGUGAAUUGUGGCUAGUGACUGACAUCCUCUCAUCCAAGGGUAUGUUUCUUCAGUAGCUCUAGUUCCCUUUCACUUGCUUCACUUCAGCUGACACCUUCAAGCAUUCUCCCUGGUCUGUAGAUCCAAUCCCUUUCACUUCGUUCUUGAUUCAACUUACCUUCGCUGUGGGUAAAACCUCAGCGCCUAGGACGUGCCGAUCGCAUGGUCGGCGGUUCGAAUCCCCGCGGCGGGGUGCGCUUACAUCGUUCGGUCCCAGCGCCUGCCAACCUAGCAGUUCGAAAGCACCCCCAGGUGCAAGUAGAUAAAUAGGGACCGCUUACCAGCGGGAAGGUAAACGGCGUUCCGUGUGCUGCGCUGGCUCACCAGAUGCAGCUUGUCACGCUGGCCACGUGACCCAGAAGUGUCUGCGGACAGCGCUGGCUCCCGGCCUAUAGAGUGAGAUGAGCGCACAACCCUAGAGUCUGGCAAGGCUGGCCCAUACGGGCAGGGGUACCUUUACCUUUACCUUUACCUUCUUUCAGAUAUCUGUCUAGUCUACAGGGCACAGAAAUCCAUGCCUCUGUAUACCUGUUAUAGGCAUGAAGGGGGGGAGAAGUACCGUAUUUUCCUGUCUAUAAGACGCCCCCAUGUAUAAGACGUCCCCUAUUUUGGGGGGACUCAGAUUUAAGAACAUGGCCUUGGCACUAUCCGUGUAUAAGACGCCCCCUAAUUUUUGACAUGGGACGCGGGUGGCACUGUGGGUAACACCUCAGCGCCUAGGACUUGCCGAUCGCAUGGUCGGCGGUUCGAAUCCCCGUGGCGGGGUGAGCUCCCGUCGUUCGAUCCCAGCUCCUGCCCACCUAGCAGUUCGAAAGCACCCUUAAGUGCAAGUAGAUCAAUAGGGACCGCUUUAUAGCGGGAAGGUAAACGGCGUUUCCAUGUGCUGCUCUGGUGCUGGCUCGCCAGAGCAGCUUCGUCACGCUGGCCACGUGACCCAGAAGUGUCUGCGGACAGCGCUGGCUCCCGGCCUCUUAAGUGAGAUGGGCGCACAACCCUAGAGUCGGACACGACUGGCCCGUACGGGCAGGGGUACCUUUACCUUUACCUUUUUAAUUUUUGACAUAAUUUAUUAGGGAAAAAACCUAGUCUUACACACGGAAAAAUACGGUAUGUCUAAUGUGAAAGUAGUGUUCCGCUAAUGCUUUCCAAUCAUUAUGCACAGACCAAUAAUAAUUAACUUCAUUUGUCUAUUGGAAGCCAUUUUUGGAACAAUUUUAAUUCUCUCUUUGGGCAGGACAUUGUUUUAUUAUUUAUUUGCUGCAUACAUGCCAGGAUGGCUGCUAAGUGGUUUGCAAGCAUAAAAUCAAUUAUGAAAUCCAUACAUAAUUAAAAUCAUGUGAUAAAACCAUCAAAACGUUAAAAAUGUCCCUAUUUAAAAUAUACAAUAAGACAGUUAUCCUAUAUACCAACUGUCAAUUAAUAACAGCUGUUCCAAUGAAGUAUCAAAUAUAUUUAUAUGUCAAAUGUCGAUGCUGAGCUAUGAAAUGCUCCUGAAAUAGUCACACAUCCGGUGAAUAUUUGCCAGCAAAGUUUUUAGAAGAUAAUUCUGAGGAAUAUCACUUGAGGCAAAUGUAUUUCAGUUCUGCGCUAAAUCAUCCAUCGAUUUUGCUCAUACCUUCUUCCACUGGAAAUUUCAGGCAGAUGAUAACGUGCUCCCUCCUUUUGCUCCCUCCAUACUUGAAAGCAUCAGUCUUAUGUUCCCAUACCAUCCAUUGUAGGGAUGCUAGCCCUUACAUCAGUGAUAGCCAACAGGCUGCUGUGCACAUAUUUUGGACUACAGCUAUUAAAAUGCUAUUAAAAUGUUUUGGACGUCAGCCAUGGGCAAUGCUGUCUGGGCACAACAUUGGCUAACCCUGUCCUACAUCAAGCUUACUAAUUUAAUGGGAACUGUUUUGAAAUGUUUUGAUCACAGAAAAAUAUACCUUGCCCUUGUCUACAUCUUUUGCAACUCCCCCCCCCCCUUUUUUUCUUUUUUUUUCUUGGAUUAUGUUAAAACUCGUUUUACAGCUGCUGGUGAAAUCUUUUAUGUAUGUGCAUUCCAAUGAGACCCUUAUUCGAUUUUCAGGAUGCAGGCCUGCUAUUGAUCCAUGAAAUUAGGACAGGAUGAGGACUAAAGAUUAGCUGAAAGACAGCAACCUUUGCCCAUUCUCAACCACAAAUGUAUUUCCGCCUCAAAGAGAUGGCAAAUGUAUUCCAUGGAAAUGAAGGCAGUUAUGUCCUUGGUGGAGAAGUGAUGACAUGGUGGAGAAGAAGACAUGGCUGAUUUCUGAUGUCUCCUCAGCAGUGCUGAAGAAAGGGCUGGUUGACUCACACAGCAUGCAAUAGAUGCUAGUCAAUGGAUAACAGGAGCCAUGGGUCAACCUUGCCACACACAAGCCUUCAAAACGUUGCCUCUCAUGUCUUGGUGACAAUUUAGCAUCACAUGGUGGUUCAAGUGUAGUGAUCCCAAGGUGAGACAUCUACCUACCUGCUGGAGUUGCACCAUCUGAAAUCUGCACCAGGUUUGCUUUCUCACCGUAAACAUCCCUGUGCCCACAUGAUGCCUGGAAGACGGUUGUCUCCAUAGAUCCAGCCUGAGCUCCUUCUCAAUGUAAUGGGUACAAUUGCUGGAUGGUAGAGACAUCACAUUUAUCACAUCCAUAUAGUUAAAGCUAUGGUUUUCCCAGUAGUGAUGUAUGGAAGUGAGAGCUGGACCAUAAAGAAGGCUGAUCGCCGAAGAAUUGAUGCUUUUGAAUUAUGGCGCUGGAGGAGACUCUUGAGAGUCCCAUGGACUGCAAGAAGAUCAAACAUAUCCAUUCUGAAGGAAAUCAGCCCUGAGUGCUCACUGGAAGGACAGAUCCUGAAGCCAAGGCUCCAAUACCACAUGAGAAGAGAAGAUUCCCUGGAAAAGACCCUGAUGUUGGGAAAGGGCACAAGGAGAAGGGGACAACAGAGGAUGAGAUGGUUGGACAGUGUUCUCAAAGGAGUGCCUGGCGUGCUCUGGUCCAUGGGGUCACGAAGUGUCGGACACGAAGAGUCGGACAUGACAACGACUAAACAACAACAACAAGAGACAUCACAUUUCCUCCCAAUAACUCCAUGUUGCAGUGGGAAUGCUGAGGAAACGUCACUUCCCAAAAAUGGGUAGAUGCACUAGCUGGAAUAAGGAUGGGAAGCCUGUGGCCCUCCAGAAGUCAUAGAAUCAUAGUGGUAGAGUCGGAAGGGACACCAAGGGCUAUCUAGUCCAAUCUCCUUCAAUGCAGGAAUUUCAAAAUCCCAUAAACAAUGUGGAGGGAGGAAAACUUCGUUCUAAAAGCAAGUUGCAUUAGUGGCAAUACAAGUUGGAUUCAAAGAUAAUUUAGGGUGGGAAUCACUGCUGUUUAUACAUAACAGGGCAUCAAAUCCCAUUUCUGUAGAAUUCCUCUUCCAGUUCAUUCUGGAAUCGAUAGUUUGGCUAUUUUAUAUCAUAGUGACAACCGCAGAUGGCACAAAAGUGUUUUAAUUCUUGGGGGGAAAAUUAAGAAUACUUUAAAAACUACAGUAUAAAAGGAAACCUCUUGGCAGAAUUAGACUGAACUUUGCACAGUAUAAAUAUACGGUAGUUUGUAGGGAAGUUAACAGAAACUAUAUAUGAAAUAUGUAACUGUGUGGUACAAGUCAAUCAACAGAUAAAGUACAGUGAGACUGAUUGGAAGUCAUUUUUAAUUUCUUUUUUAUAAGUUCUAUAAUUGUUCACACCACUGGGAG